GUAAAAAAAAAAAAAAAAAAAAGUUGAACUACGUUAUGACUUGAUCCCUAUAUUAUAAAGGGUACGUAGGCAGCUUAAGGAAAACCUUAAGCCCAGUCCAGCAAAAAAAAAGUUGAACUACGUUAUGACUUGAUCCCUAUAUUAUAAAGGGUACGUAGGCAGCUUAAGGAAAACCUUAAGCCCAGUCCAGCAAAAAAAGUUGAACUACGUUACGACUUGAUCCCUAUAUUAUAAAGGGUAUGUAGGCAGCUUAAAGGAAACUUUAAGUUCAGUCCAGUAAAAAAAAGGAAGAAAGACAAAUUACAUUUAAUAGAAAAUAUGAUGAGGAGUGGAACAAUGAAAGAAUAAAUUUUUUUUAUUUAUUAUAAACUUCUAGCAAAAAAAAAAAUUAAAAAGGCAUAAGUAGAUAAAUAAGAGAAAGCAGAGAAUCAUGGAGUCCAUUUAAAGUUCUUCAGCUCCUCUAGUGUGCUUUCUAAAGAUUCACGAAGUGUUGAUAGCAUUUUAGCAUCAAUAUCUCCAACGAUCGGGGCACAUUCGAGUUUGUCAAUUUCCUCACAAGUCUUCGAAAUCUCAUGUUGCUUCUGCUUCAGCUCCAGGUCGUUCUUAAAAAUUAUUCCAGAAAGUUUAGCAGACUCAGCCCGCACCAUCUUUAGUUUUGCCUCUAGUUUAGCCUCCUUGGCGGACAGUCGUGUAAGACGACGUUUAGCAGUGUUGGUCUCUGCCAAUAUACGAUUCUCAUCAACUCGCAGAGUCUUCACAAAACCUUUUGCCUCCGUUAGCUGAACAUCCUUAGUUGAUUGGAGUAGAAAUGAGGAAUGUAUUUGAUUAUGGUUCUCGACACCUUGGAAGUAACCAUUCACAAGCUCCCUCAAAACAAUAAGGUUGUCGCUGCCGCUAGUCGCAAUCGCAUCAAAGAUCUUAUGCAUUUCUGGUUCAAGACUACUCAGUCGUUCAAAAGGGGUACGAAUGAUCUUCUGUCGUAGGUUUUCCCAUAAGGUUAUGGCAGCCUGUCGUCGGAGGUCAGAAAUUAAGCUGUCAGCACAAAAAUGAGAAAUCUCAGAAACUGUAAUAGGCUCCGUGCCUUCCACUUUUUGAGGAGGUCCCUUGAUCACAGGAGGACAAGCAGACACAAUAUUUGCGCCUAUAGGUUCCUUAGAGUUCCCAUUAUAAGAAAGUACAACGUUACAGUCUUCUAGAUUCGGCAUCGACUCUAGGGUAUCUUCGAUGUGUAGGUCGUGAUCACCUAAAGAAGACUGCAAAAUAAUAUUAACAACAAGAAAUAAGAGAGUAAAGGAGAGAAAAUACAAUAAAUAAAUAAAUAAAAAGGGAGACGAAAAGAAACCAUGGGGGAAGGGACAUCGAAGAAUUGUGCAGCAUCAGGGACCCGAAUAGGAGACUCUUCAUCAUCGAUCGACUGUUUGUUGGCUUCUUGGUCUCUUCCAAUGGCGAUCAUCAUGCUGCUUUGACUGUCCUCAAUACGUUUAGAAGGAUGCUUGGUAGCUAUGAUAAGCUGGUUGUCCUUACCCACAUUGUCAAUACACCUUUAAUAAGAUGUUUAAAUCGUGUUAGAAAAGAGACAAUUAUCCACCAAGCGUUUUGUCCCUCCCUCAAUUUUCUCCACAAGUCGUUCAUCAGUUUCAUCGAGCAUAUCUUCUGAUUUCCACUACCAAAAUUAUGUUCAAUCUUUUUUGUGGUUUUGGAUUUGAUGUGAGGGGGAGUAGGACGAUCUAUCAAAUGUUGUACUCCUUCUUGGAGGUAAUCACCGUGUUUUUGCAAGCCACCGACCUUAUAAUGAGAGGUAACAUGUGUGUCUGGAUUAGGGGCGACACAGGAAGAUAUACUUGGGAAAGUGUAUUCUCGCGAAUACAAAUCAUCCAACAAUAUCGUACGUUAAAAAAAUUGGCUCGGGAAUUUCUUCACCUAAGUCAUAUGCACGUCUUGAUAAAAUCCAAAUUGUCGGCUAAAGCGACAAGGACUAUAAGGCUCAAUGUGGAGGAUCCACAUUGCGAGGAUAGAAAACAAGAGCGAAUGCUUAUGAAAAAUGAAGCAUUCCAACUAAUUAACUCUCCAUCAUCCGUUAAGAGUUCGUCCUUAUUCUUUGUUGGAAGACACGCAUGCCAUGACACAUACUUUUCCCUUGUGGAUAUGUGUUCGAGCCUCAAGAUUAGUAUAAUAUUUGGCCCCACCUUCACCAGAAAAUUCAACCAUGCGAGGACCCCUAAGACUCCUAGGGCUUUAUAAUGAGUGUUGAAGUAAAGAGCAAGCCACCCAUGGACAUAGUGAAGAGGAAAACAGGCAUUUGAAUAACCAAGUGAUGAAGUAGAAUCAUGAACUUGGCGUAGGCCACUAUAAUAUUAGCUAAAACAGGGACAACAAGGCUAAAUGUGUAGCCUUCCGCAUGAGGCUAGCAACCUUAAAAACCUCUGACGAAGGGAAAGUUGCUUAUCAGGGAACACAAAACACAUAGCCAACAAGAGAGAAUGCCGCUAGAUAGGUUUUGUCCCUAUGAUCAUCACGUGACGCUUAAGUCAAGGAACACUUUGAGUUCAGCUUUAGACCAGUCAGGACGUCUGAUGGGAAUUCCAUCUGGAUUAUGAGUUGAGCGAGGGCGAGAAGUCUUUUUAGGCUUUCGAGGAGCGGUUUCAAUACUUUACCUCAGAUCGUGUAACCCAAAAAGAGAUCCAUUCACUUACAGUGAUUUGAGAGUGAUCCAUGCGUUGAGAAAAGCUAAUAGGCUAAAAUAAAUGCUCACAACUUCUUGGACAUACAUCAGGUGAUCCUAUUAAGUCUUUGGCAAGGAAUGCUUUCUUCAUAAAAUCUACCUUUAAUCGGGAGUCCUCCUAGUAUCCAUAAGUCCAUAAGGAGAUGGACAUCUCACCAGCUGAGGUGUGAAGAGUGUUUGUUGAAGGACACCAUGCCUCGCAGAAAGCCCGAUCAAUGUCACUGUUGCGAUCAUAUGUAUAUAGGGAAGCCAUCACAGCAUUAAAUAGGGAGGCUCGCUUGAGUACUGCCGUAUUUCUAGCAACAACGAGCUCUAACCACUCCCAAUAAUGAGGAAGAUUGUAAAAUUCUCCAUGUACCUUGAGCACAUUUCCCCAACGAAUUUUUGGGUCGUUUAUAAUUCGACGACCCAACGUUGAUUCUGGAUCCUCAUUUGGAGGCUUGUUGUGAAUCGAAGACUCCAGAAACCAAGAUUUUAAAGAUGAAUUGGGAUUUACAAACCGUUCCUUGGACCAUUUAGGCAAAAAGAUAAAAUUGUCCUCGGGUAUUUGGGAGUCCAUAUAUUCUCAUAUGUCCCCUCUCUCACAGGAAGAAUGAUCCCUUCCUCUAAAGAUUGAUCUACGUCUUUCAGGAUAAUUAAACACCUUUUGGUCAGUCAGAAUACUCAGUGAAGUGCACCAUGAUGAAAAGUAGAGUUCCUGCAAAUAUAAUAAUAAUAAUAAUAAGAAUAGAAAAAAACCAAAACAAAAAAAAACAAAAGAAAAGAAAAAAAAGAAAGAAAGAAGAAAAAAAAGGGGGGGGGGGAAGAAAAAAAUGAAGAUUGAAGCCCGACGAUGACAAGAAUCGAUCUCUCCUACUAGGGCGAUAGAUCUGACGGCAAAAGCCGAUCGUCCCUAGAAGAAGCUCAACAAAGUCAUUUGCAAACGAAGAUCGAAGCCCGACGAUGACAGAGUCGAUCUCUCCUACUAGGGCGAUAGAUCUGACGGCAAAAGCCCGAUCGUCCCUAGAAGAAGCUCAACAAAGUCAUUUCUGCAAACGAAGAUCGAAGCCCGACGAUGACAGAGUCGAUCUCUCCUACUAGGGCGAUAGAUCUGACGGCAAAAGCCCGAUCGUCCCUAGAAGAAGCUCAACAAAGUCAUUUCUGCAAACGAAGAUCGAAGCCGACGAUGACAGAGUCGAUCUCUCCUACUAGGGCGAUAGAUCUGACGACAAAAGCCGAUCGUCCCUAGAAGAAGCUCAAAAGUCAUUCCUGCAAAAAAAAAAAAAAAAAAACAAAAAAAACAAAACAACACAAAAAAAACAAAACAAAACAAAACAGAAUUAAAAAAAGCAAAACAAAAAAAAAACACACACACAAAAAAAGAGAAAAAAGAGAAAGGGAGAAGAAAAGUUUUCUAUACCUUUCUGCUGAUUGGAUGAGGUAUAAGUGAGUAGGGUGUGAGUCUAUUUAUAAGUCCAACAAAUCCAAUUUUUAAAAGGAUUAGGAAUGAUAUUUAAUUAUUUUUUUUAAAAAAAAAACAAAUCCAAUUCCUAAAAGGAAUAGGAUUGAUUUUAAAUAUAUAUAUAUAUAUAUAAAGAAAAGAUAAUCCAAUUAUCUUAUUUUAUUUUAAAUUAUUUCUUUUUUUUUUGUUGGAUAAAUCUCAAGUUUAACUUUUAUUGAGAUAUUUAAAAUAUUUAAAAAUUUCAACAUUUAAAAAUAUAUAUAUAUAGAUAAAUAUUCUCAAUUUCAAAAUUCAAGUUAAAUUAACUUGCAUAUAUGACCUCAUUUUUAUCAUGAAUUUAAAUCGGAGCAUAAAUCCAACUUUACCUAAGAUUGAGGACCUGAUUUUUUAUCUCAAAUUAAAAUUGGUCAUUCCAAAUUCUUAUGCAUCCCCAAGAUAAAUUAAGGUACGGUAGAAACUUUAUCCUUAUUUCAAAAUUAAAAUUUUGGUUAUAUUCCAAAUUUUACUUAAAAAAAAUCAUCAUAUUAAAAAUUUUUUUUAUCCUCAAAUAAAAUUAAGUUAGGAAUAAAACUUUGAAUUUUUUUAAGGUUUGGCCAUAUUCCAACCCUUAUUUUAAAUUGAAAUCAAACUCACGUACUAAAUUCAAGUUUGAUUAAUUUGAUAUAUUGAAUUGAGUAAAAAAAAAAAAAAAAAAGAAGCUCGUACUUUGACUUCAAAUUUAUCUUUUCGAGAUUCAUUCACCCAUAUACGUGCAUAAAUCUCGAAAAGGGGGCAUUUGUUGAAUAAGAAAUUUUGAGACUAAUCACUAGUUGCCAUAUCAUUUAUUAAGUUAAUGAUGAAAAGUACAAAUAAUUAAAUUUGGGACUAAUUAAAAUUGACAUAUGCUCCAAAUUAAAGAGUUGAAAAUAAAUAAAAUGGUCAUUCUAAUAAUGCCACAUGUUUUCAUAUUAAUAGUUGGAUUAAGUUAAUCAUUUUAGUUCAAUUAAAUAUUAUUUACUUGGACUAAGUUCAAUUAAGCCCAAAAAAUAAGCUUAAUUGAACCCAAAGACUAAAUAUAACCUAAGUCCAUAUGGUUGAGCCCAUGGGUCUGGUCCAUGGACCAACCAGGUUCAAACCCAUAAAGCCCACCAGUGAAAUCUAUAAAUAGAGGAAUUCUCCUCAUUUGUAGGGGUUGGAAAUUUUGACUCUAGAAGAUCCAGAGAGAAUUCUUCAAAGAGCUAGAAGACUCCCUAACUCCUGAAGUCGACCAUCCUCGAAGAUUGAAGCUUCUUUAAAGAUACAAGCUUUCUUCAAGGCUUCAACUUCAAGAACAUCACGUGCUUCGCUUCCUCAAAUCAAGCUGAAGCAUCCAGUUGAGAGAGAAUCAGAGGAUCAAAUUCUAGAGAUUGAACCGCAUCGCAUCAAAUCAACAAAAUACAACAUCAAACUCAAGUUCAAGUCCACGAAUUAAAUUCUCCGAAAAUCUCGUGCGAACACAUAUAUUUCUAAAUAAAUUUAUUCGACGAAAGUGGCUAGAUUGGUGGGUUCGACGGCGAAGGCUUGUUGUGGCAGCAACGACAACAGUGGUUGGAGUGUGGAAUCGACGACGACAAGUGGCAAAAAAUUGGAAGGCAAGGGUUCUUCAUAACGACUCGGUAGCCCACUUCGUUCGACGAGAUUUUUUUGCAUUUUUGGUAGAGUGAGAAAAAAUUGCAUUAAGACUUCAUUCGACGACAUCGUUUUUGCUUAAGAGAAAAUUUGAUGUUUUUACUUAGUUGUAAUUGCGUGAGAGAGGGAAAUUAAAAAAUUUUGAAAUUUGAGGUUUUUUCAUUUGAAAUUUUUUUUAAUGACAAAAAAAUUGUCGUUAAUUAAUGACCCAAAAAUUGUGUGAAAUAAAUUAAAUUGUGUCAAUAGAAUUGUUUUAAGAAAUAAUCCAUAUUUUUAUUUUCAACAACACAUGUACCUCAUCCACCUCUUUUUUCUUUUAUUUUCAACGACACAAUGUCUUGAUUAAAAUCCAUUUUUCUAGUGACAAAUGUAUCCAUACCAAAGUGGGAAGCAGCUAAGGGGACGAAGGUAUAUUCGGAGAGAGAUUGUUAAACAAUUGUAAAAAGUAAGCCCAAGAAGAGAGGUCCAAUAAAAUUCAGCCACCUCUCACAUAGUAAUUGAAAUAGUCUAGCAAUUUCAACCAUUUCCCUCACAGAGAAGAAGAAGACCAUAGCCACUCGAGGCUUUUGCACAUACAAACACCAAGAAGAUGGUGUCCGGUUCCGUACCUGUGCUAAGCGCGUCGUUGUUGACAUAAAGUUUCUAUAUACAAAGCUAUGUAUCUCUACCCUUGACUUCUCUUUCUCUCUUUCUACCUUUUUUAUCCUUUCUUUCUCCCAUUCACUCAAUACACUUGCAAGAACCUUCAUUUUUUUUGUAUUUAAAUUUUCUUGGCACCAUCCUUUUUUAAUUAUCAAGGCUUUGUUAUUGUGUACCUGUAUUGUGUCGUGCCUCCUUCACUUCUCAUCAUCAUUUUCAUGUCACAUCUCUACCUUGUCAAUUUUCGUUUUUCACUCAGCUUUCUUUCUUCAUUUGUCUUCACUACUCUCUUCGCUCCUUCUUCUCAAGCUCUAACUUUUGCUAUUAUUAACCAGUCUCAAAUGACCAUUGGAAAACCUAUAGCCCACUGAGAGGCAGCCAAUAUAGUAAUGCCUCUAAUGAUAAACUCCAAUGAAAUCAAAAGUUCUUCUUUGAGAUUUGGAAAAAUAUAUUAGAUAAAGCAUAAUUAGUUGAAAAAGAACCUUAAAAUUUUGUGUUAAACGACUACAAUUUCAUCGUAGAAUAUGCCAUAUUGACAGCAUAUUUUUCCUACAAAAACAUAUUAACUAAAAUAAGCUCAUAAACACGAAAAUGCACUAAGUGUUGGUUAACAUACACUACCUUGAAAUAUGAUGAAGACUUUAUUUCUCCCAACCAGACAGCAUAAUCAGGAGGUAGUUUGGGAGCAAACAGAAUUGACUUAAUUUCCACUAGCAAUAUCCUAUAAAAAUUUCAAAUUCUUGAAAUAUGGAAACCAAUGGAAGUUUUAGGGAAUGAAGUAUAACCUCUAAAUACAGAAGGACGACAUAAAGGGGAAUGAAGACUCGAAAGAAGGACGACGUUUUCGUAGAGAAGGACGACAAUUUUGAGGGACAACGGACACGAUUUCAGAGUAUUAGGGAUGGUAGAUGGCGAAAGUCUUAGGGAUCUCGUACUCAGUGGAUGGUGAACGACUGAAAGCGAAGGACCUAGUACGCAUUUUUGGAGAGGGCGUGUGAACGCGGAUGGACGGACGGUGAACACGGCAGAAGUGAGAGAUCCUCAUAGAGAACUUGGCAUUUUCGAAUGCGGUAGAGACAAGUCUAGGGCUUCGAAGGAUUCAACCCAAUAUUUUCUUUAUAUAUAUAUAUAUAUAUAUAAUAUAUAUUUAAUAACACUUGACGUUUUUAAAACGUAAAGAAAAACGAUUUUACUUGACGUCUAAAAAACAUCAAGAAAUUUAAAAAAUAACUCUUCUCCGGCUUUUUAUAAAAAUUCUUGACGUUUUAAAACAUAAAGAAUUUUUAAGAUAUUUCUUGACGUUUUUAAAAUGUCAAGUAAAAGUACAUAUUACUUGACGUUUGAAAAUUUUGAAGAAUGUUGAAUAUAUAAACAUUCUUGACGUUUUUAAAACGUCAAGAAAAAAUACAUAUUAGUUGAUGUUUAAUAAACGUCAAGAAAUCUGAAAAUUGACCUACCCUCGCCUUUUCUAAAAAUUCUUGACGUUUUAUCUUUGGAACUACCCCUUUCUUGACGUUUUUUGAAAAAAAAUGUCAAGAAAGAAAAACAACAAACGUCAAGAAAGGCCUUUUUUGUAGUAAUGACAUACAAUAUAUAUAUAUACAUAAAUAAAUAAAUAAAUAUAUAUAUAUAUAUAAUGAAUUAAAAUGGUUUUGUUGCUUUACUGUUUUACUCUAUAAAGGAAGAGCAUUAUAAAUAUAUUAUUGAGGAAACAUCUUUCGAAAUGACUGGUUUUGGAAGUGUCAUUAGAUUUUUAGUUAGUUAAGCACAUUUUCCUCCCAAAUAGUAGUCGAAAUACAACUGUUUUUUAAGAAGAAGAAACCGAAUCCUUCAAACUAGGAUAAAAGUCAUUAUCUAUUAACAUAGAGUUAAAGUUACAAGGUUGAAGGCUAGAGGGAAGCCUGAAACAACCUAAUCUAACAAAGCUUAAAGUUAAGAGUUGGUAGUAACAUCAUAUUAGUUACAAGAUGAAUGACGCCUAGACCAAACUUCGAUCAAGUUACAUGUGUCUUCCCACAAGUUAACAAUAAACCUUGAUUUAUCCUUAAAAAUUCUAUUGUUUCUUUCUAUCCAAACAAUCCAAAGUAAGCCAGUUAUGGAGGAGGAAUACACAUUAGAGAGCUCAAUUAUGGAUGGAGGAAUACACAACUUUUUCUCGUGGUCAUUUUCCUCGUGGGCAUUCUCUUCAUGUUUCUUCUUAUUCCGACUAAAAUACAAGCACAAAUUAUUCUUCGCCUUCGUAUAGGUUUGUUUGAAGAAGAUUAAAAAAGUCCUUAAUUUAUCUCGACACUUCCAAAACCAGAAUAUAAUACCCGUGCUACAUAAAUCCCUCUUUCCAAAUAGUCGAACAUGAACUAUCCAUGCAUAUCUUGGAAUAAACAAGAGAAACCCUAACUAAACGCAAAUAGAAAAUACGUUGCAAUCUAAAAUAUAGUUAAAGAAACAAAAAGAAGUUUUAAUGUUGUGGGUUUUUUACUGAUCUUCUUCAACAACAAAAUAACUCAACGCCACAGUUCAAUUUUUCCUUCCACGAAUUGGGUUUUUAAAGAGUUUUCACCGCGAAUAAAUUUUUUUUGGUUCGACAAGUAACAACAUGUGAAUCCCCAAAUGCAAGGUUUUAUUAAAAAUUAAAAAUAUAAUUUUUUAAAAAAAUUAUAAUACCUAAAAAUAUAUUUUUUUUAUAUUUAUAACCUAAUUUUCUGUCAUUGCAUACUUGAGAGAAAUAUAUUUUUCAAUUAGCAUAAUAACCUUUAUAUAGUAAAUUAAAUUUGUAGAAUGAGAAAAGACCUUAGAUCCAAAAAAGUUAUUUAUUUAUUAUUGGAGUGAAUUGUAUAAUUAAUGUAGUUAAUGGAUGGUUUUGUAACCAUAAAAAAAUAAUGAAAAUAAUUUUCUAAAAGAAUGAAUGAAAAUUUGGAAAGUUAAAAGGUUUUAGGAAUUAAAAAAAAGGGUGUAACAUUAUAAAAGACUACCAAAUAUACUGUAAGAGACAUGCAUUAAAGGAGCUGAGUGUCACGUGUGAAAUUUUGACCCCAAAAAUCACCCCCAAAAUUGCGCUAAUUCAUGCCACGACUCCUUCAGCAAGGCCCAGGAGCAGCCCAACGUGGUCCUAAGACAGCCUAAGGGCGACCACGACAUGUGCCUACGGCAUUGGCAUGCACCUCUCGAGGACAGCUCACAAGCCCCGCACGCGUGCCACGACGAGUGCCCAUGACAGCCGAGUGUCAGCCCACGACACAGCCCCAUAGCACGCCAGAUGCCCGUUGACACGGCCAUAGGCGCCCGGCACCAGCGCCCACCAUCGACCCAGCGCGCGCCGUGUCCGCCCAACGUCCAGACGGCCCCAGAACCUCCGAGAAGCUUCCAGAAGAAUCGGGAAGGCGCGCAACACUUCGCGUGGCGCGCACGGCGCGAACCCAACGCGCGCGCCGACGCCCCCAGAUGCUUCCAGAAGGCUCCACACAUGCCCAUGUGUGUGCUGCCCGCCCAUGCUCAGUCUAGACAACCCCAGAAGCCUCUAGAACGUUCGAGACAGUGCCAGAAUGUGCUGGAAUGCGCGGAGGCUCCCGAGAAGGCCCCGGAACGUGCUGGAUGAUGCUGGAACGUGCUGGAACACUCUAGAAGGCUAUAUGACGGUCAGCGAGUGUCAUGAAAGGUCUAGUCCUCUCUAGAAUGUUCUAGGCUUCCUUGUUAUGUACCAAAUGAACUUGUAAUCUCUAGAAUCUCCCUUGGCCGACCUUCUAAGGCCCAAGGUCGGUGGGGAUGGUCUAUAAAUACUUGGGAGGGCCUCAUUUGUAUCAAGCCUUGCAACCUUGCAUCUUGGCAUGUCUUAGCCAAGCAAGGUCACCUUGCCACCCAAAGUCUCCUUGCCCAUGGUAUCCCCAUGACAAGAAGACAGCAUAUUUGUACCCAAAUAUGUAUUCAUCUAUUGUUGGAAUGCAAUGUAUCAUUCCAAAGACGUAUCCAUCCAAACUCCCUCAUCCUUCCAACCUCUCUCAUGUCUUGCAACCAACCUUAGUACUUCCGCUGCAACCGUUGUCGUAGUGCUUGGCACACUACCCCUUCCGGGAAAGGCUUACUUGGCUACGUGGGCAUUGUAGUUAGCCAAGUGCCGCAUGUAUGGUUAGCUUCAAGAUCCUAACCACGUGACAUGAGGCAUGCAUACUACCAAAUAUACUAUAAAUAAACCAUAAUUCUUUUUUAAGAAAUUAAACAACUAAUUAAAUAUAAAGAAGAAAGAUUAGAAAAUGAAUGAUCAAACAAACUAUGACUCAUUUAUUUUUGACAGGUUCGGCCAGUAUCACCUGACAAUUCAUUUUCACCAAGAGAAUAAACAUGAGUAGCCUUGGAAUCAAGUUCCUCCGAUAAAAGCCACGGAGUUGAUGGGUUAGAGACAGAACCAGAAUUUGAGUUCAACGAUGUGGAUGGAAAAUUCUGAAACUAGGAGCAACAGGAAGUUAAGACAACGAAUUAUUUUCAAUAUAGAAAGGCUAAUUGUAAGAAGUUGUUAAUGAAGUGUCCAAAUGCAUUAUGGUAAUAUUGGGUGCAGAAUGUUUGGAAGUUUUAUCCGUGUGCUGUGAAGCACCACAGAGUUGAAGCAUAUGAAACCAGUGUUUAUCUGACAAAAAAUAGUGUCAUGAUCAUUGCCUUUCCAUUCCAUAAAUUUAUGGAUAGCAGAAGAAAGAGAACUCUCAACACUUGAAUCACCAUAUAGCACUCUACAUCCAGGUGGUGCCUUGAUUUUUGAAGAUUUAGUUAAAAGCAGUGAUAAAAUUGGUACAUAAAUUACAGUGCAUUUCUCGAUAUGCAACAACAUUAAGAGCAACUUAAAGACAACAUCAUCAAGAAAUCUAGUAUUUAAAAUGUACAAAGAGCAGUAGUAAACAUAUGUAUUUUAUGGCUGACUUUAUCCAUAAUAAAUGUUGGAUUAAAUCAUCAAAAUAAAACACAAACAGAUAAUUAUCGAGUUUUUCAAUGGAGGAUAGAGAGGAAGACAUGCAUGCACAACUACUAGAUCUAUAUGGUGCCAGACUGCCAGUAAAAAUUUAAAGACACACAUGACAACAUUAUUUUGGAUGAAGUUCUAAUAUUGCAACCAUGGAGGAAAAAUCAGCAAAUCUUAAAUAGAUGUAGUAGUCCAAAUGAUAAAAGUUUGUCUCAAGAUAAUAUUUCAGUAACUGCAGAUGCAUUGUGUUGAACCUAACCUCUUGUGUUUCACGGUAAUGAACAAGGACAAUGUGUUCAAAGGUCCUGAACAAAAAGCAGAAGCAAGUCAUAAAUUAUAUAAGUAGAACACGAUAUACUGCCACUUCUAAUUUCAUUUUUCUUUGCUUGUGGCAUGAUGGGGAUAGACCCCACUGAAACAACUGGUAGCAAGCAAUUUAACAAUUUUCUUUCAACCAUAACAUACUUAUCUAGGAGCCAAUAACACCGGCGAACAAAGGUUGGGCUAUCUAGUCCAUGGGCAUAGUAUACAUGUAUCCUUUCUACAUUACCAACCUGCCGAAGAGAAAGAAAAGAUUAUCAAAGCACACCUUUUCUUGGUUAUUAAGGCUGUAAAAGAAUGAAAAUUACCAUAAAUCUAAACACAGUUAAUAUUAGACCAUUGAACAACCUAUAGAUUCAAAAGGAAAGACUCAAACCACCAAUAGACUGGUUAAUCAUUUAAAAUGAUCUCCAACAACAUGAUACGCAGUAUAUCGUGCUAGAUCCAUAAUUACCACAUGUGGACUCCUAUGGUAAUUUCAUUGAUGAUACGCAGCUAGUAGGCAAGAUUAUGAAAUGAAGACGGUAUGUGAGAAGAUUGAAAAGAUCAACAUGAUAAAAUUAUAGGGAUUUGAAUUUAUAUCUUAAGAACACCAGAGUCAAAUGCUUAAGCUGAUUAACUGUGUUAAAUUUAACUCUAUAAUAUAUUUUAAAUCUGAACAGUCAUUAAACAACUACAUUUUGAAUAAGCUUUAGAGAAUAUUAGCAAAAACAGUAGAAAUUACUUCAAAUUUGUAGAGAGAACAUAUAAAUUAUAUUCUACAGAAACACGAGCCCAUAGCAUGUCUACUGAGUAGCAAUGACAGUGAAAAAGGGAAUAGUAAGUAACUAAUCUCAUAAACCCCUUUCUCACAUCUAACCAAGUUCUUUCAUGACAUGCAAAAGCAUCAAAAUAUUUAAGAAAACUUCCAAUAUUGCAUUUGGAACUCAUUGAUUGACUUCAACGUUUAAGAGUCAUAAAAGACACAACUUACUUUCUCACCUGUCACCACUAAGCCUACGGCAACAUCUUUUUAUAAGAUAUUCAGCUAAUCUUUAGAUUGUUUACCGAAUAAUCGUCUAUUGUUUUGUAAUUGAUCCCACCAAGCGCUUGCGCCACCUUGAAGUUUGAGAGCAACUAAUCGAACCUUCUUGUGUUCGUGGUGUAUUGGCAUAGUCGAAAAAAUUUCUACGUUCUUGAUCCAAUCAAGAAACUUCUCCACGUCCAUUCGACCAUUGAAGGUAGGGAGAUCCACUUUCAUACGUAUUUCUUGAUCUUCUUGAAAGUAUGGUCGAAGUCCAAGCCUUUGUUGAGGUUCUUGAUGAAUGUUCAGCAAGUUGUCUUCAUCGGAAGAGUCAGAAUCAUUUAAGAAAUUUCAGGUACGUUGUUUCCAUACAAUCGAUUAUUGUGGAUGUGAAUAGGUUGAUUUCUUAGUAGUUCUUAGUUUACAACAGGGUUUAUUGGUCUUUCUUGUCUUUCUUGGUUUGCUGCAAUUGGGUUUCUUGGGGCUGAAUUGCUUCUUCUAAAGGUUGGACAUGAAAUCGGGUAAAAAGGUUUGUUAAUUCUACUAACGAUUGCUGUAUAUCUGACUGCCCUUUUCGAAGUUCUUCAAUAGCUUGUUCUACCAACUGCAAGCGUUGGUUGAAGGAGGCUUCCGCGUCCAUGGAUAAGAGUGGUAGGAUCCAAGUUUUUUUAGGGAAGAGUGAGCUAGGAUCACGCUCUGAUACCAAUUGAUUCAGUAAUUGCAAAGCUAGAAAUCUUUAUGUAUAAUGCCUCUUUUUUUUUAUGUCUUAUUAAUGAAAAUGAGAAGCUUUUUUAUAGGCUGGAGAUUAUAAGAGUUGUUAAACUAACUUGGGGUUGAGUUAGUUAACUUGGAGUUGAGUUAGUUAUAACUAACUCAAGAUACAAAAUUGGUAAUUCAAAUAACUAAUCCUAAACUAUAAAAAUGGUAAUUCAAACCCCUCCUCUAGGAUAAAACUCAAGAAACAUCAAGAAGGGAGAUGUUCUACAUCAAAGUGUAGAGAACGAUUCAAAAUCCUUGGUGAAAGAAAUGAAUGUUAACUAAUGUGUGUUUAUGUGAAAUUGUUCAAUGAGUAUGUUAAGGAUAAAGAAAGGUUUAUGCGAGAUAAAAUUAUUUGAUGUUGUUUAUGCGAAAUGAUGUUUAUGAAAAGGUAUUGCGAAAAGGAUUUCAUAAAACCUUAGUCUUUUAGACAUUCUUUCAAAAAUUCAUCUUCCAAGAUGAGGUGUUUAGGCCAAGUAGAGAAGAAGGUUGAAGGAUUUGCAGCGAGAUGACCAGACGUUUUGAAAAUAGUUAAGCAUUGGUUGUUUGGUCAAAGUGUUGUAAUUAUGUAUCAAACACAUGUUAUUAAUAAACAUCUUGGUAGGUAUUUAUUAUACUUGCACGCCUACUCUCACAUUUAGCCAUAUGUUGUACUUUGUUUUCCACCUUGACUUUUAAUGACACACAAACCAACUUUCCAAGGAAUUCCCUUUCAUUUUCCUAUUAACUCAUAUUCUCUUUUUUUAUCAAGUCCUUGAUAGAGAAAGUGGACUUUGAGUUGUUGGACUUUAGUAUUGCAUGGACAUACAAUUUUGAAUGAAAAAUCCUUAUAAAUGGGGCCUUUUAACUCAUUUGAUGGGUUGGCUAUUGAAUUUGGGCUUUCAUACCAAAUGGAAUUUUUUUUCUUAUUUACUUAAAGAAAAAAAAAAAAAAUUUACCACGCCCAUUUUUUUUCAUCUAUUUCUUUCGUCCGGUUCUUUCAUCCAACGAGUCCCACAACUCGAUUAUGAGUCUAGAAGUACUAAGUCAAACUUAGUGGUUGUUCGAAUAAAACGCAACUUCAAAUGUAAGUAUUCUAAAAACCUUAUUUUUUGGUUUAGUCUCGUUAAUUAAGCCCAAUUAGGGUAGAAUUUCGAUUCUUUUUCUGUUGUGCAUGUCUUAGUUCUAUCAGUAACUCCCUUCAGGGUGAUAACUCUCAUCAGCAGACUUUCCAUUACUGGUUUCUUCCUUAGUCAUCAUUAUAUUGUUGUUUUCCACAAUAGAUAGGGUGAGUUGCAGUUUUACAUGAAAUGCUCUGCUCACCCACACUCUUUUCUCACUAGUUCCUUAUUCUCAAUCUUCAACGCAAAUUUCAUCAUCUGGGCCAACCCAAUCGGUUCCACAGUUUCCACUUCCAUUUUUAUUCAUGGGCUAAGCCCAAUCAUCAAAGUCUCCUCUAACACUACCGUUUGAAGAAAUGCUACUAGAGCUAAAUAUCGAUCAAAUCGGUUGCGGUAUUCUUCUAAUCAUUUUCUGUUUGAUUGAGAAAAAUCUUCCAACCAAAGUUCCUUCUCGAAUUGAUCGAAACUGUACAAGCAUUCGUUCUUUCAGGUCAGCCCAAUUCUUAAAAACUUCCAACUCUUCUUGUGCUUGGUACCAAUCCAAUGCCAGAUCAUCAAAACUAAUAACGCUGUGGUUAAUUUCUCUGAAUCAGUAAGAUCAUGUAUCUUAAAGAAGCGAUAGGCUCUAAAUUGAGACCCAUUUCUAAUUUGAGUAAUGAAGUAAAUUUGGCUAGGUAUUAAGAAUUUGGCGUUUGAAUAAAUCCACGAAAAGGAUUAAGCGAUAAAAAAAUUUAUGGUUAAGUAUACGUUAUUGCGAUUCAGUGGGUAGUUCGCGAAGGAAGUUGUGCGACCCAUUUCUAAUUCGAGUAAGGAAGUAAAAUUCGGCUAAGAAUUAAGAAGUUGGUGUUCAAAUAAAUCCAUGGAAAGAUUAAGUGAUAAGAUCUUUUACGGUUAAGUAUACUUUUUUGCGAUAAGUGGUAGUUCGCGAAAGAAGUUGUGCGAUAAGAAGCGAAAAAGUCUUUGCGUAAGUUAGAAAUGAAAGUUUUGAGUGUUAGACUAGGAGUUUUGGGUGGUCUUCGCGAGAAGAACCAAGUGUUUCGUGGAGAAGAAGUCUACGAGGAAGCCUUGGAGUUUAAGUUCGUGAUAAGAGUUUUAUGCGAGUAAAAGUUGGUUAGUUCAUGUGGAACGUUUCUUAUAAUAAAAAUAUAAUCAAGCGAUAAGGUUAUUCACGAGAAAUGUUAAGUGGUUGAAUUUAUUCACGGUUUGGGUUAGGCGGGAGCAAGGUUUGUAAAGAAAAUGUCAAAUCUGAUUUGACAUGGGUUAACAUGUAAGAUUAAGGAUUUGAGCAUGACUAGGUUAAAUAUUAAGGAUUUGCAUGACUAAGUUAGUAUAAGGGAUCUAUAAAAUAGGAGAAUUUAGGUAACUAAGGAGGGGAUGACGAGAGUUUUGUUGAAAUGCUAAAGUGUUGUUGGUUUAGCCACGAAAAGAUGGUUGUGAGAAGGACUUCUUUAGUAAAUUUUGGUGAGUGCUUUUCAGUCAAAAGAAUUUAUGUUAAGAAACUUUAUUACGAUUUCUCUUUACUGAUUGAAAGAAGAAUUCAGAUGAGAAUGUUUCAGAAAGAUUUCUAUGAAAAGUUAUGUUCAAGCAUUAUUAUAAUGUUAAAGCUUGAUUUGAUGACUAUGAUUUCAAUAUUAUGUUUCUUUGAGAUGAUGCUAACUUUUGUGUGCACAUAAAGAGUGAAGGCACUAUGGAGUGUACGAACUACAUGGUAAUAAGAAGCUGACUUAUGCAUUGAAAUGAGCGUAUAAAGCUUAGCGGAUGACAACAAAGACGAAUUUGUAUGUUCUCAGAUGUUGAUACAGUAGUCUAAACGCGAGGUAAUGACACCAGCGUAGAGAAUGAUUCGGGAUCCUUGACAAAUGAAAUGAUUUUUUAAGCAUAAAGAAAGGUUUAUUCGAAAUGAAAUAAUUUUUCGGUAUAUUUAAAUGAUUUGAUAUUAUUUUACAAAAUGAUUAUGAAAAGGUAUUGUGAAAGGUUUUCAUAAAACCUUAAAGGAUUUAAAAAAAAAGUGGACCAUUCAACUUAAUUCCCAUCCACUAUCCUCUUGUCCAACAUGAAACUUUAUCUUAGUAAAACUUCUUGAUCCACUAUUUUACAAAAAUAUUCAAAACAAUACCAUACUACACCAAAUGUGAUAUUUUGGUAACACUAUAAAAUGGUCAGAAAUACCAUUUUCCUGACUUUUUUUUCAUCGACCAUUAAAGAAAAAGUAUAGAUGAUGUUUCAAAAACUUCCAAACCAUUGUGUUAGUUAUCGUUUUAGAUGAGGGUUGGGGUAGAGCAUCAAUACUAAAGGUUGUUAAGGAUUAAGAACUAAGACUUGAAAACAAAACCGCCUGCCUGGUUGACAACAACACCAUCCCACUAGAGUGCACAAUGAUUAUUAUUGCAUUAAGAAGAAGAUGGCAGUUAACCUUAGCGCCAUAAUCAGAACCUCAAUCCUCCCUUUGAUGAAAGCACCUAAAGGUGUCAUGCCUUUCCCCUCUACCACAUUGAAGCUCUUUGUCUAACACUACAAGAAAUGAGGGCUCUCUCGAUGCAUAAAAUCAUUGGGAGAUAUAUAAAAAGCAUCAGAAAAGGCUUUUCUGACAUACUAAUAUACGUUGGAACACAAGUCAGGAAAAAAUGUAUCGGGAGAGGAACUCCCGAUGCACAAUGUUGUGCGUCGAGAGUUUCUAGACAUCUUCUGACGUUGUAUGAACGUCGAAGAUGUUGUCAAUAUAGCAUCGAGAGAUGUCUAGGAACCAUGCGUCGGGAGAUCCUCUAUUUUUUAUUAAAAAAAAUAACUUCAAUUAAUUCCUAAAUUCAAAUUGAAAACUCUAAAUUCAAACUCAACUUCAACACUUCAACCUCAACUUCAACACUUCAAAUUCAAAUUUCUAAAACCUACAACUAAUUCAAAAUUCUAACAACACUUGAAAUUAAAUUUCAACACUAAAACUUACAACUAAUUCAAAAUCUAAAUACUAAAACUAAUUUGAAAUCUAAAAUCUAACACCUAAAACAAAUUUGAAAUCUAAAUACUAAAACUAAUUAACUAAAACAAAACAAUAACUAACUAAACCACUUACCGAUGGCGGCGACGACAGGACGACAACAGGGACGACAAUGGAGAUGACAAUGCCCUCUUCUUCUUUAUCUUCCUCUCGGUCUCCCUCUCCCUCUCUCAUUUUUUUCUCUUUAUGUUUCAUUUAUAUAAAGAAUGGAGUUAAAAAAGGCAGAGAACUCCUGACGCACAACGAAAACGAAUUGGUUCCACAAACCAAUCUCAUCACAGAGGUACUCUUUGCAAUUUAAGCUCUAUUUGCAAUGGACAGUCUUCAAAGUUUUUUUUAACGAUGUUUCCAAUGCUUUCCUUUCUCUCUCAUGUUUAAUAAAACAAAUUUCUCUUAAAACCUGUAGGGAGGCUACAUCGUAUCGAAUUUCAUACAACUGACGUGUUCAUCGAGUUACAACAAGUGCCGCACAAUAGUCUGUUCCAUUUUGAAAAGUUGUGAGUGUGACACGCUCACAUGAGGUUAGAACGAGACAUGGCAAGGCAAGCCCUACGCGCGCCUGCAACUUCUGCCACAAUAUUUUGUAAGCAAGCUGAUGUCUUUAGGCUGUUUUUGUGGUUUUUGGAAAUUUUAAGCAAAGUUUUGAUAUUUUUAUGAUCAACGGGAAUUAAAUGGAAUUAUUUCCCAUUAUUUUUCAUUAUUUUAGAUUUGAAGGAGAUCGACCAAGUUUAUAAGCCAAGGGUCCAAGCUACUCUCUAUAAGUGACAAAAAUGAGUUUAAAGUUGAUUUCUAUACAUGAAUUUACUAUCAAAUGUUUCAAGCAUGCUUUGAUGUUUGAAUAUUUGAGGAUACUGACUAUAAAGUAUUUCCAAAGCAUGAAUUUAGAAACAUUUUGGUAAACAUGUUUUUAUUCAUGAAUUUACUAAUGAAAAUUAUAAGCAAUCAUGAUUGUGCUAAGUUUUCAGAAUGUUUAAGCUUGAAAAUAAUAUUAGCAUGUUUUAGUCUAUACCUAAAAUAUUCUAAGAUAUAUAGCAACCCUUCGCGGAGAGAUUUUCUUGUGCAUAGAGGUCAUUUGAUUUGGAUAUUCAGUAAAUACCUAGCUUUCCAUCAUUGGUAUUAGAUAAGAGAUGAAGACUUCUAAAGAUGCUUAGUUUCCCAUCUCAGGGACGAGAGCUUGUACGAAUGCCUAGUUUUCCAUCUCAUUGUAGUUAUAACGAGAUAGGGCACAAUUGAUGCCUAGAGUUUCAUCUCGUAAGUAUCGUAUCACGGGAUAGGGCUUCUAUGCCUAGUUUAUUGUUUUUCGUCUCGACGAUUAUAGGUAUAACAGAGAUUUGGUUUGAGGUGCUUCUUAAGUCUUUAAUAUUUAUGUUUGUUUUGAUCCUAGGAAUUGAGCAUGUAAUGUAAAAAGUCUAUGCACAAGGGGUCAUAUGGCCAUCUCCGUGUUUCUUUAAUUAUCAAAUUUGUUCAAGUUUUUAAUUGUCUCUAGAUCAAAAUCUGGAGUUAUUUUUUGUGAUUUGGUGUACAAAUACAUACAUCCAUGUUUCUAAUUAUGAUUAGAUUGUUUUCUGCUCGCAACAUUUUAUUGUUUAGCUUGUCUUUGAUCUUGAACUUACUAUUAUGUUGAUUUAAAUUCCAUUUUAGCCUUAGAACUUUCAAAACAUCCAUUUUAGUCAUCGAGCUUCCAAAACGUAGCCAACUAAGUUUUAGUAUUUUGUAAAUUAUUUUAUCAAUUAAUAUUCAUUUAUCCAAUACUCAUCGGUCAUUUCUGCUAUAUGUGAUUGGAAUAUAUCUCAUAGGAAGCAUUUUGAAAGUUGGGAAAAGAUGGAAAAUUUUAGGGACUAGAACAAGAAUUUGUUUAAUAUUUUUUGAUAGGGUGAAUUCUUGCAAUUUCCUUGUCGUAUAUACAUAAUUUUUUCUCUCAUUUGGCAAAUUCAUUAUGCUUGAAAAUUUAGGUGAUUCAUGAGCUAGAUAAAGUAAACAACGUAUGGAAGAUGAUCUUUGUGGCUUGUGAGGAAGACGUGGAGGAAGCCUUGGUGGCCGUAGAAAAAGGGAUAUGGACUUUCAACGUUGAAUGGUUAAUGGCAUGUAUAAUGAGACAAGAAGUAGACUUGGAGGCCCUUAAUUUGCUGAGUCCCUAUGAGAAACAAGGUCACCCUAACUUUCAGUUUUGAACAAGCAGCAGCCAGCCAUUUCGUCCUUGUGUAAAUCCACUCUUUUCUCAACUCACUCUAAUUUGGUACAUAAACAAACUCUGAUCGCUCCAUCUCUAUAUUCAUCAGUACAUAAAAGACGAUAAGUUUAUUCAUGGAGAAAGUUGGAUGUAAGUAUGUUUUAGGAAUGGUCCUUCAUUUAGUAACUUUGGGAAUUGUAAAAAUGAGGUAAUGAAGUUCUAUCAAGUUGAAUGUUCUUGUUUAUGUUAGAUGAGACUGAUUCUUGGAUACCAGAAUUAACUUGAAGUACGUGUUUGAGUUCCAUUGGAGUGAUUAGAGAAAAGAUGUUCCUUUAAAAACGGUAAUUUUUUUAUGUAGACUUUCUUUUUAUUAAAAUUGCUUAAAAUACAAUUUGAGAGUAUUUCAAUAGCUUUCAAAGAGUUGUCAAACACUUGUAGUUUUUCUAAAAUAACAUAUUUUCAAAAUUAAUUACUGUAAUAGUUAAACAAAAGAUUCUUUCCCUUCGAAAUUUUAAAGUUUGUCUAGUUACCUCUUAAACCUUUCAAUUGUUUAAUAGGUCUUUCAAUUUUAUGUUUUAAGUGUCAUAAAUUUUGAUUUUUUUUUAUUUGUUAGAUAUAAAUCUGAAGAAAUGAAUAAAGUAGAUUUGUAAGUUUAAAAUAGUUUAAAAGUUGAGAAAUUAAAUUUGUAGUUUAAAAGUUGGAGUAAAUAGUUUGUGUUAAGUCGGGUUGUGAUAUUUUAUUUAUUUAUUUUAAUAAUAGAAGAGAGGGAGACGAAAACUGCAGACUGAAGGGAGAAGAAGCGGUGGCUGACUUUGUAUAUUUCUCCUUUCUUUUCAAUUUGAGAAAAUUUCUUUGCAAUUCACUUUGAAAAGGAAAUGAAUAUUUCUCCCUCAGACUUAUCUCUCUCUUCUUUUCAAUUUAUUUUCAAUUUUUCUGUGUGCUUCUCACAGUGUAUGCAUAAUCUCUCUUUCAUUUUGAUAUUCAUCUCCAUUUCAAAUAUCUCCCACACAAAGAACAAAGAAAUGAGUAAAGUAACUGAGAGAGCAUUUUGUUUUUCCCUUCAUAUGGUUGGUUACUUUUUGUCAAUUAAAUGAAAAGUGAAGAAUAAGAUAAGAUUUUCUUUACCCAUUUGCCAUCAUCAUCAAAGCUAUUUACCUCAUUUUUGUUCACACACACACAACUUCAUUUUGUUGGAUUACACUCAUUUGAGAAAAUAGCAAAAUUUUAUUAGAAGAAUAGCAAACACGAGCAUUUCAUGUGUUUUGAAUUUUCAUUAACCCUAAAAUCUCCUCGCCUGCUUUUUAGUUAAACUGUAACUAAUUUUGAAAUAUGCAAAAUUUUAGCAUAAAUAUUGAUUUUCUCCUACAUUAUCUUAACACACUUUUUUUCCUCCAAAUAUUGGAUUUAUAUCAAAUCUUUAUUUUCAAAUUUUACUUUAUCCAAAUUUUCAUUUUUCAAAAUUUCAUCGUUAUUCUACUUUUAUUUUUGUAUUUCAUAUAUAUAUAUAUAUUUAUAAUAUUUAAUCUUAUUUUUUCUCUUUUCCUAUUCAUCUUCUUCCUUUCUCUUCCUCUUCAACCUACGGCCACACCACCGUCUCUUUUCUUCCUUCUCUUUUCAUUCUCCAAUCAACUUCACCACCGUCUUCCACCUACAUCGAACGUCAAGCAAAUUUUGUCGUAUCGUCGCAUCACCGUUAGCCCGAGUCACUCCGGUUCCGUCACGCCAUGUAUGUUUAGAUUUGAAUUGUUUGGUUAUUUGUUGCACCGAUCCGUCUCCGUUAGAAUUUGAUUCUCCACAAUUUGGGUAAGUUAUGGAAUUUACAUAUAGAGUGAAUUGAAUGGAUUAAAUUGUUUGUGGAAGUGAUUGAUUUCUCUUCAAUUAUGUUUAGGUCGGUUCGUUGCACUUUAGUUUGAAAAAGAAGCUUAAGUAAGGUUAUAAGCUAAGGGAUUCUCUACUACUGGACUCACCUAUAGUUUUGAAUUGUGCUGUCUGUAUAGUUACCUCGAUUGAGUAAAGAUGUCGAAACGAUAUAUAUACGUAUGAAUGUAGACUUGAUGUUGAAUGCAUAUUGUGAUUGUCUGGGAAUAUAUAUAUAUAUAAAUAUGUAUGGAUGUAGACAGGACGACAAUUGUAGAUUGUGUUUGUAUGGAAUGUGGAUGUGUGAACUUGUGAUUGUCGUUUAGAUUGGGUGUAUGUUAUACUAAAGUAUGGUUGUGUACUGGUGAAUUGAGGGGUGUUAUGACUAUAUAGUUUGAUUGACUGAUGUAUUGAUAUGUUACUGGCGGACAUUGGGCUAAAGUGAGAUAAGUUGACUAUUAGGGUGUUCAGUGAAAGGAUUAUAUGUUGAAGUAGUUGGUUACUAUGAAUGAGUUUUAAGAUGUUUAGAAUGGAUUGAGGGGAAAAUUGUUAGAUUUCUAUUGGGUAGUUACCUUGCAGGUGUCCUACAGGAUCACCACCUGAUAUGUGCAUCCUUCGAUAGCACUAGACUGAUAUGUGCAUCCUUCGGGAGCAUUAGACUGAUAUGUGUUUCUGCGGAACACUAGACUGAUUUAUGCGUCCUUUGAGGCGUUAGACUGAUUAUGUGUAUCCUACGGAUCACAAGACUGUGACUGUGCAGGGUACCCCAAUAGGAAGUUAACAGUUUCUUUUUCCCCUAACGGGACGAAUAACGGGUCUCUUAUUGGGUAUGUUUAUACUCAUCCUUUCAUGUUUAACUAUUUUAGGCAAAGGUAACAAAUGAGGUAGACUGACGAGGGACAAGAAGGAGACGUGAUUGCCAUAAGGGAAUGUCCUUCAAAUGCUUCUGCUUUAUGUUUCUUGUUUUCCUUUGUACAUGAGGUUGUUUAAAAAUUUUGUGAUGGAACUGAGUUUACGAACUGUUGUUUUGUGAAUAGUACUUUAAAGUUUGGAUAUUUGAAAUAGGGCCCGAACUUAAGUUUGUUUUCUUUGAUCGUAUGAUUUCAAGUGAAUUUUACUAUAUUUUGUGUCAAUCAAGGUCUCUUUGUCAAAAUUAAUGACUUCAACUUAGUUAGAAAAGUUGGGUCGUUACAACAAAUUUUAAGUAUUGAUGUAAGAAUUAUGUACUUCAUUAUAAAGGUCGAUAGCUUACAAAUAUUAACACGAUCGUGUACCGAUAACAAGACGAUUGUUUACACUAUUCAAUACGAUCACCAAUAUCAUAUGAUCGUGUACCCAUGUCAACACGAUAAUUUAUUUUAAUCAAUAUUAUCAUUUACCGUUCUUAAAUGUUCGUUUAUCACGGUUAAUAGGAUCGUUUAAUGUAUAUUAUUUCAUUGCACGAUCGUUUACUUAUUCUUGCAUUGUGUUUAGUAUUAUCAUUUUGUACAUUUUAUUCUUUUAUUCAGUAAUAAAUGUAUAUCUAUGUCUAUCUAUUUCUUUCUAUCACAAUUAAAUACUUAAUUUUAUUUUAUUUAUUUUUUUUACAGAUUAUAAUGUCUUUUCCUAUUGUUGUUUUUUACGGAGGUCAAUGGAAUGGAUGUAAUAUUUAUGAGAAUUACUUAGUUGCUGAAAUUUUGGUAGGUGUCCGAGUCAGCUUUAAUUCUCUAGUUGAUUUAAUAUGUGAACAGAUUCAAUUGGAUGGAUAAGUAGAAUUAUCUGUUUUACUUGAUUUUGGUAAAAGCAAGGUCCAACUGUGGUGCCAGUAAAGAAAGACAAUGAUGUGGCUUGGUAUUUAUCUUUUGCUAAAGAUGCAACUAAUAUACAUCCAUUAGUUGCUCAUGUAACUGUUGAUUUUUUUUAGAAGGUCUUCUUCUUCUUAGAGAACUACCUGUAGCUACCAUGCUUAGUUCAAUUAGAGAUGUAUUGCAAAAGUGGUUUGAUGAAAGAAGUAAAGCUACUUUUACAAUGAAGAGUUGUUUGACUUCUUGGGCUGAGAACGUGUUGCAUUUAGAAUAACAUGAAAAGUCAAGAAUUUUAUUGGUAAUUUUUUUUUUUUUUUUAAUGUUUGUAUCUCAGGUAGAUAUAAAUAGAUUGCUAUUUUUGUCCAUUCGAUAGAGAAAUAUAACAAUUUAUGUGUGCUUGUUUCAGAUAUAUAGAGAUAGAUAGCUAUCAAUGUCUAUUUGUCUCUAUUUGUGCAUGCUUUUUUUUUUAAUUUUUCUAUAUUUGUUUUAUGUAUUAGGUUGAUCCAAUUAGUAUGACUGAAUAGAAAGUAAUGGAUGAUACAAAAUGAUAAUGUGAUUUAUUUAUAUUGGUUCUAAUUUGAAAUAUUCAAAUUUACUUUGGAAAUUAGUAUAAUUAGUAUAAUAUAUAAUGAUACAUUAUAAUAUAAAGUUUAUAUUUAAUGAAACUUUAUUAUAUAAAUUUAAUUUUAGAUAAAGUUCAAAAUUAAUUUAUGAGAAAAUAUUUGAAUGAGUUCAAAUAUUAAUUUAAUGUGGAUUUGUUUCAUAUUAAAACUAUUAAUUAUGAGAUAAAGUUAUAUUUGAAUAUGAUUCAAAUUUAACUUAAGUUAAAUAUAAAAUAUUUAAUUUAGUUAUUAAUUAAUUGAAGAAUUAAUUAAUAGUUUAGUUUAAUAUUAUUUAAUUAAAUUUGAUUUAAUUAAAUUAAUAUAAAACUAUGGGUAUUGGAGAGAUAUUCAUUCAAUAAGAUUUAAAUGAAAUAUUAAUUAAAUAUGAUUUAAUUAAUUAUUAACUAAUUGAUUAAUGGUUAAUUAGUUAGUUGAUUUGAAACUUCUAUUAAUUUAAUAUUUUUUAAGUUAAUAGAAUCCUAUGAUUUUCUCCUACCCCGUCUCCUACUCAAUGAAAGAAAGAGAGUUAUAAAUAUGUAGAAGAAAAACAUCUUUUCUUAACCAAAAUAAAAUCGAUGAUUUUCUUUUCUGCAAAAUAGAUUGUAACGACCUAAUUUUUCGAAUUAAGCUGAAGUUAUUACUUUAAGACUAGAUUCGUCUUUAACCAUAAGACUUUAUAAUUUAAAAAAUAUAUUUUUUAACAACAUUAAAGAGUUUUUAUUCGGCUCUAUUUCAAAUAAAAUUUUGAAAGUGUAAAAGUAUCGAUAAUAAAGAAAGUUCAAGAACAUAAAAGUCGUUCAAUCAUGAAACCCAAAACAGUCUCAAUUACUAAAGAAAACCAAAAAAAAAAAAAAUAUAAAGUAAAAGCAAUUUGAAGGACAUUUCCCUAUGGCAGUUUCGCGGAAAAAGAUUAAACAUAAAAGGGUGAGUAUAAACAUACCCAGUAAGGGACCCACUACUGAUCCUGUUUAGAAGAAAAAUAAAAUUGUUAACUUCCUAUUGGAGGUGCCCUGCACUUUAAAAGUCUUGUGAUCAUGUAGGAAUACACAUAAGCAGUCCAAUGCCCUAAAGGACACAAAUACUAGUCUAGUGCUCUGCAGAAAGCACAUGUCAGUCUAGUGCUCUCGAAGAAUGCACAUGUCAGUCUAUUGCUCUCGAAGAAUGCACAUGUCAUUCUAGUGCUCUCGAAGAAUGCACAACAGGUGGUGAUCCUGUAGGACACCUGCAAGGCACACUACCCAAUCGACAAAGCUAACAAUUUUCCCUUAGUCCAUUAUAAACAUUUAAUCAAUCCAUUCCUAGUAUAGUCAAACUACUCCAUCAUAUCAUCAAUCCAACUUAACACACUUACGUUCAAUCUAUUCAAUCUAUCACAAAAUCAGUUGAUACUAUAACAACACACCAGACAGUCAAGAUAUAUAUAUAUAUACAUAACACCUUUCUCAGUUUACAAAUACAUUAUCCAUCGUAUCUACUUCUAUACCAGUAAGUUUACAAACACUAACUGUUGAGUUUCUACAGUAGAUUCUUGAAGAUGUGACUCUUGAACAGAUGGAUUCUCAUGGAUGAUCACAUGUUUGUUAUUUUGAUGGUCAUCAUUCUUGUCUAGAUUGUGAUGACUAGAAUCAUCACGAAGAUCAUCAUACAUGUUGUUAAUAUCAUCAAACAAUUGAUUCUGAUUCUAGUAUAGAAAGAAAAAAGGAUAAUAAAAAAAUAGUUACAAAAUGAUCGUGUAUCCUUAAGCAAACAAUCGUGUAGAAUAUCUAAACGGUUGUUUUACCAAGGGUGAUCGAUAUUUUAGAUGGGAUAUGCGAUCGUUCAUAUGUGAUAUGUGAUCGUGUAAAGAUAUAUCAAACCUUUGUUCUGUCAGAAGUCGUGCUAAGAAGAGUUGAAAGCUUGUAAUAAGAUCCAUCAAAACUGAAAGAUUUUACAUCAACACGUUCCUGACACAGUAAUGCAGUAUCAAUGAGCAUCAAAUUACGUGAGAUACGUAUUAGAAAAUAUCUAACUGCUCAGUUAAUUUUUUAUGGACAUCAAAUCACCUUUUUUCAAGCUUAAGGAAGGAAAUGUCGACACUAUAUAUGUCAGAGUUGUGCAUUGCAAUGGAAGUGCCAACACGAGGUGAUACAUGUGUGUCUGGGAUGUAAAUGCCACUCCCCGACUAGGACCAACAUAGACUUAGGGAGAAAGCAUGCUAGGAAUUGGAGUUGUGUCCUCAAUUUCUUCAAGGGACUUGAGCAUUUCUUCUUACACUAGAAUGUCUCCUGUUCAGAGAGUUUAUAGGAUUUCUCAAGGCCAUUUUUGCAUACUUAACAGCUCUUGACAACGGUAGAGAGUCUAACUCUACACUUUCAAGGGGUUCCAACUCCACCACUCGCUGAGCCAAAGAUAGAGACGAAUCAUUAAUGAUCCAGUAAGCAACAUGAAACCUUGUAAUUUUGGGGUUAACGGUAGUCCCUCCCAUUACUAGCUCAACACUUAAACGGAGUCUCCUCUAUAAAAUAUAAAAUAAUACAGACACAAAUAGUGAAUGAAAUCUUGUGACGUAACAAACACAAAUUUUAGGUAUACUGCAAUUUGACUAAAUAUUGAACAAGAAAACCCAAGGGAAUACACAAAAAUCCAACGUUUUUAGGGGUCAAUUUGGAAAAUGGCAAAACUACUUUUUCUUUUCAAUUUUAGCAAACAACAUUUUUUGCGCGUGCAUGGUAUUUUAUAAAAUACCAAAAUAUUCAACUUCUCCAACUAUAAUUAUUUUGUUUUUACGUUAUAAUUAAUUUAUGUUAUGUAUUUAUCAACUUUUAAUUAAUUUUUACUUGAAAUAGAUACAUUAACUCAUAUCAUAACUUUUCUCUUAAAAUCUCAGGACUCAAUUAAUUAAUUCAAUAUUUUAAUAACAUUAUUCAAUCUUAUUAAUUUCAAAAUAAUCUAAUUGAAUUUGAAUUUCAAAAUAACCAAAUUGAAUUUCAAAAUUACAAAAUUAUUAUUUUCUAGAAUUUGAGAAUCUCAACGAUAGAUUUUAUAUUAAAAUAAACUUAUCUCAAAAUAAUUUUAAUGACUUGAAUAUCAAGAUAAUUAAAUUAUUAUUUUAAAAAUUGGAAGAAAAGCACAAAAAGCGCACACGCCCACUCACGUACACACGCACGCGCGCGUAUACGCACACACACGCACACGCACACGCACAAAAGCGCACACGUGGACACUCACACCCACGCACACGUAGACAUACACACCCACGCACACGUGGACACGCGCAUACGCACACACGUACGCACUCACGCACACGCACGCACACACGCACAUAUGCACAAAGAUGUAUAAAUGAAUUAAAAUUAAAAAAUAACUACAAUAAUUUGACUUACUAACGUUAAUUAAAUUAUAAUUUCUAUCAAUAUUGGUUUAAAAGUGUCAUUAAUGUAAUUAUUUCAAUAUAAUGCACUCUUAUCCAAUUUUACGAACAAAAAACAAGUCGAAUAUGUACCAUUAGAUGACACUCUUUGUCAUAAGAGAUAUAGCAACGUUUUUAUGGGUCAUUUUGAAAAAUGGCAAAACUACUUUUUCUUUUAAAUUUUAGCAAAUAGAAUUUUUUACACGUGUCCAUGAUAUUUUAUAAAAUACCAAAAUAUUCACCUUCUCAAACAGUAAUUAUUUCGUUUCUACGUUGUAAUUAAUUUAUGUUAUGCAUUUAUUAGCUUUUAAUUAUUUUUUACCUGAAAAAGAUACAUCCUUUUUCUUAAUAUCUCGGGACUCAACUAAUUGAUUCAAGAUUUUAAUUUUAUUCAAUCUUACUAAUUUCAAAAUAACCUAAUUAAAUUUCAAUUUCAAAAUAACAAAAUUAUUAUUUUUCGAAAUUUGAGAAUCUCAACGAUAGAUUUUGUAUCAAAAAUAACUUUAAUUGAAUUUCAAAAUUAAAAAAUAUUAACUUGUUCGCACACAAGCACACGCGCACACGUGCACAACGCACGCACACACACGCACACACACCCAUCCACACACGCACACGCACACGCACAUAUGCACACACGCACAAAGAUGUGUAAAUUAAUUAAAGUUAAAAACAAAUACAUUCAUUAUGUUCAGAAAGAGUUUUAAACCAUGUUCAUUUGACUUAAUAACAUUGAUUAAAUUAUAAUUUCUAUCAAUAUUGGCUUAAAAGUGUCAUUCGUGUAAUUAUUUCAAUAUAAUGCAGUCUUAUCCAAUUUUACGAACAAAAAACAAGUCAAAUAUGUACCAGUAGAUGACACUCUUUGUCAUAAGAGAUAUAGCAACGUUUUUAUGGGUCAUUUUGAAAAAUGGCAAAACUACUUUUUCUUUUAAAUUUUAGCAAAUAGAAUUUUUUACACGUGUCCAUGAUAUUUUAUAAAAUACCAAAAUAUAAACCUUCUCAAACAGUAAUUAUUUCGUUUCUACGUUGUAAUUAAUUUAUGUUAUGCAUUUAUUAGCUUUUAAUUAUUUUUUACCUGAAAAAGAUACAUCAACCCAUAUCAUAACUUUUUUCUUAAUAUCUCGGGACUCAACUAAUUGAUUCAAGAUUUUAAUUUUAUUCAAUCUUACUAAUUUCAAAAUAACCUAAUUAAAUUUCAAUUUCAAAAUAACAAAAUUGUUAUUUUUCAAAAUUUGAGAAUCUCAACGAUAGAUUUUGUAUCAAAAACAAUUUUAAUUGAAUUUCAAAAUUAAAAAAUAUUAACUUGUUCGCACACAAGCACACGCGCACACGUGCACAACGCACGCACACGCACGCACACACACUCAUCCACACACGCACACGCACACGCACAUAUGCACACACGCACAAAGAUGUGUAAAUUAAUUAAAGUUAAAAAAACAAAUACAUUAAUUAUGUUCAGAAAGAGUUUUAAACCAUGUUCAUUUGACUUAAUAACAUUGAUUAAAUUAUAAUUUCUAUCAAUAUUGGCUUAAAAGUGUCAUUCGUGUAAUUAUUUCAAUAUAAUGCGGUCUUAUCCAAUUUUACCAACAAAAAACAAAUCGAAUAUGGAUCAGUAGAUCUACACUCUUUGUCAUAAGAGACAUAACAACGUUUUUAGGGUCAUUUUGAAAAAUGACAAAACUACUUUUUCCUUUGAAUUUUAGCAACUAGCAUUUUUUGCACGUGCAUGGUAUUUUAUAAAAUACCAAAAUAUCAACAUUCUUCAACUGUAAUUAUUUCGUCUCUACAUUGUAAUUAAUUUAUGUUAUGCAUUUCUCAGCUUUUAAUUAUCUUUUACUUGAAAUAGAUACAUCAACUCAUAUCAUAAUAUUUUUCUUAAUAUCUCGAGACUCAACUAAUUAAUUCAACAUAUUAAUAAUUUUAUUCAAUCAUACUAAUUUCAAAAUAACCUAAUUGAAUUUGAAUUUCAAAAUAACAAAAUUGAAUUUCAAAAUAACAAAAUUGAAUUUCAAAAUAACAAAAUUGAAUUUCAAAAUAACAAAAUUAUUAUUUUUCGGAAUUUGAGAGUCUCAACGAUAGAUUUUGUAUUAAAAUAACCUUAAUUGAAUUUCAAAAUUAAAAAAUAUCAACCUGUUCACUAUCUUUAUCUCAAAAUAACAUUAAUGCCUUAAAUAUCAAGAUAAUUAAAUUAUUAUUUUAAAAUUGGAAGAAACUCAACAUUAAAAAUAUUAACUUGUCGGACACAAGCAUAGAAGCACUGCGCACACACGUACACAUGCACACUUACACACACGCGCGCACACGCACACCUACACACAGACACCCACAGACGCACGAACCCACGCACACACACAUGCACACGCGCACGCAUGCACACACACACCUAUCCACACGCACACAAGCACACACACAUGCACAAACGCACACACGUGUACGCACAAACCUUAUCUCAAAAUAGUUCCUAUUUUUGCUGACAGUUUAUUUUUUGCCAUCGAUAGAGGAUCUUCCAAUAGACCUACGUGACGGUGUGUGUUGACAGCUUAAUUUUGUUGGCAAAAGAAAAGUUGAUUAGUUUUUGAAGAUUUACUGACGAUAUUUGUCAUCGACAAAGGGUAAAUUUCUUGUAGUGCAUGUACAUCAAACAUAUCAAAUUUGUUAAGUGUACCAAUGAAGUAUAACAAGUUUAUUAGUGGUGUAUCACGUGUAUCAAACUUAUUAGUGAAGUCUUUAAGUGUAUCAAACUAAUCAAGUGUAUCAAGGCCUCAGGGGUAUCAAGUGUAUCAAGAAGAAUCAAGUGUAACGAGAAGUAUUAUGUGGAACGAGAAGUAUUAUAUGUAUGAAGAUGUUUCAAGUGUGUAUCAAAAAGUAUCGAGUGUAUCAAUGAGUACCGAGUGCAUGAAUUGUAUCUAUCAAAUGUAUCAAGUGUAUCAGUAAGAAGUAUCAAGUGUAUCAAGGGUAUUAGGUGUAUCAGACGUGUAUAAGGUGUAUCAAAUAUACAUCAAUAACGAGGGCAUUUGUGACAUUUUACCUCUUGAUGUGUGAGUUGGUCUUUGUUUUUGUCAUUUUCUCAAAUAAUAAAGUAUGUGUUCUAUGGACUUAAUUAUUAUAACUUAUUUUGCCAUUUUCGCAAGUGUCCCUUAAUUGUAAUACAUGUAUAUGUGACAUAAUCUAAUCAAACUAACUCAUAAAUGGACUUAAUGUAUCAAGAGGUAUUAGGUGUAUCAGACGUGUAUAAGGUGUAUCAAAUGUACAUCAAUAACGAGGGCAUUUGUGACAUUUUACCUCUUGAUGUGUGAGUUGGUCUUUGUUUUUGUCACUUUCUCAAAUAAUAAGGUAUGUGUUCUAUGGACUUAAAUAUUAUAACUUAUUUUGCCAUUUUUGCAAGUGUCCCUUAAUUGUAAUACAUGUAUAUGUGACAUAAUAUAAUCAAACUAACUCAUAAAUGGACUUAAUCUAUCUCAUGGACCACGAAUUCUUCAAUUACUUGCAAAUUUGGUGAGUUCCUUCAAAUGGUGGGCGGAGAGCUUAAUUUUGAGAGAGAGGAAAAGUCGUGAAGAGUAUUUGCGAGAGAGGGGGGAACGUCGCCAGAGAGCAUUUGCGAGAGAGCUAAAGACAGCGACGAUGUGGGAUGAAGUAAGGUUUUUUUCGGUCAUUGUUCACAAGUGGGAUGAAAGCUUCGAAUUAUUUGUUUUAAAUCAAAAAACGUAUGAUUGAAGGAAAACAUUGAUUUUUAUUAGGGUAAUUUUUUAAUGACACAUAAUUUAUGCCAUUAUUUACAAUGCCAAAAUUUUGUCAAGAAAACUCAAUUUGUGUCACAAAAAAAUUUGUAUUUUUAUUUUUUUAACGACACAUUUUAUUCCCUCAUAUCCCUUUUUCUUGAUUUCAAGUGUCAUUAAAACUUAUAUUUCUAAAUAAAUUUAUUCGACGAAAGUGGCUAGAUUGGUGGGUUUGACGGCGAAGGCUUGUUGUGGGAGCAACGACAACAGUGGUUGGAGUGUGGAAUCGACGACGGCAAGUGGCAAAAAAUUGGGGGCAAGGGUUCUUCAUAACGACUCGAUAGCCCACUUCGAAUUUUUUUGAAAUUUGAGGUUUUUUCAUUUGAAAAUUUUUUUAAUGACAAAAAAAUUGACGUUAAUUAAUGACGCAAAAUUUGUGUUGAAAUAAAUUAAAUUGUGUCAAUAUGAUUGUUUUAAGAAAUAAUCCAUAUUUAUAUUUUCAACAACACAAUGUACCUCAUCCCACCUCUUUUUUCUUUUAUUUUCAACGACACAAUGUCUUGAUUAAAAUCCAUUUUUCUAGUAGUGACUGAAAAAAAAACUGGACAGAAUCAUAAUAUCUUUGAUAAUUAAAUCACCAGUUGGUUUGAACAUAUAUAAUCUUGGAUCUAUUCUAUUAUGAUAUGACCAUGGUACAUCAUGAACAUACAUUGACUAAAAAACUUAAAUUGAUGAGUGAAUGUAAUAAAUUUAAUAUUAAUUAUAUGAUCAAUACUUUACACAUGUAUAUUGGUAUAUCAGUCAAUAACAGUAGUAAGACAAAUUAUAAAAUAUAAGGGAUAAAAGUCCUACACAUGCAUGUAUGGUAUACUCUCUUGAUAGCAAAAUGCAUUUAUGUCAACUCAUGUUUGAAUGCAUUUAUGUAGGAAAUUCAAUAAAAUAAUUAAGAAACCUUGCAAUAUGUGAGAGAUAUACGAACUUCAAACAAAUUUUACAAGUUUCAGCAAAAAUUUUCAAACAACUUUUAAAGUUUAAGCAAAAAGUAACCGUAGGUAGGAAGGGGAGCAAAAGUGGGGUCUCGAAUUAAUUCUGAAAAAUUAGUAGGCUUUCAAAAUUUAGGUUCUAGAAGUAGAAUUAUUGCAGAAAAAUAAAUAAUUGCAUCAUUCAAAUUGAAUCAGACAUAUCAGGAUGUAUAUAUUCUCCACAACGUAUAAUGGAGUAUAAACAUAAAGUUUCUAUAUACAAAGCUAUGUAUCUCUACCCUUGACUUCUCUUUCUCUCUUUCUACCUUUUUUAUCCUUUCUUUCUUCCAUUCACUCAAUACACUUGCAAGAACCUUCAUUUUUUUGUAUUUAAAUUUUCUUGGCACCAUCCUUUUUUUUAAUUAUCAAGGCUUUGUUAUUGUGUACCAGUAUUGUGUCGUGCCUCCUUCACUUCUCAUCAUCAUUUUCAUGUCACAUCUCUACCUUGUCAAUUUUCGUUUUUCACUCAGCUUUCUUUCUUCUUUUGUCUUCACUACUUUCUUCGCUCCUUCUUCUCAAGCUCUAACUUUUGCUAUUAUCAACCAGUCUCAAAUGACCAUUGGAAAACCUAUAGCCCACUGAGAGGCAGCCAAUAUAGUAAUGUCUCUAAUGAUAAACUCCAAUGAAAUCAAAAGUUCUUCUUUAAGAUUUGGAAAAAUAUAUUAGAUAAACCCGGACGUGGUGAACGCGGUGAACGCAGACGCACGGACGGUGAACACGGCAGAAGUUAGAGAUCCUCAGAGAGAACUUGGCAUUUUCGAAUGCGGUAGAGACAAGUCUAGGGCUUCAAAGGAUUCAACCCAAUAUUUUCUUUAUAUAUAUAUAUAUAUAAUAUAUAUUAUAUAUAUAUAAAUAUAUUUAAUAACACUUGACGUUUUCAAAAACGUCAAGAAAAACGAUCUUACUUAACGUCUAAAAAAACAUCAAGAAAUUUAAAAAAUAACUCUCUCUGGCUUUUUAUAAAAAUUCUUGACGUUUUAAAACAUAAAGAAUUUUUAAGAUAUUUCUUGACGUUUUUAAAAUGUCAAGUAAAAGUACAUAUUACUUGACGUUUGAAAAUUUUGAAGAAUAUUGAAUAUAUAAACAUUCUUGACGUUUAAAAAUGUCAAAAUUUUUAUAGAUAUUUCUUGACGUUUUUAAAACGCCAAGAAAAAAUACAUAUUAGUUGAUGUUUAAUAAACGUCAAGAAAUCUGAAAAUUGACCUACCCGCCUUUUCGUAAAAAUUCUUGACGUUUUAUCUUUGGAACUACUCCUUUCUUGACGUUUUUUUUGAAAAAAAUGUCAAGAAAGAAAAACAACAAACGUCAAGAAAGGCCUUUUUUGUAGUAAUGACAUACAUAAAUAUAUAUAUAUACAUAUAUAUAUAUAUAUAAUGAAUUAAAAUGGUUUUGUUGCUUUACUGUUUUACUCUAUAAAGGAAGAGCAUUAUAAAUAUAUUAUUGAGGAAACAUUUUUUGAAAUGACUGGUUUUGGAAGUGUCAUUAGAUUUUUAGUUAGUUAAGCACAUUUUCCUCCCAAAUAGUAGUCGAAAUACAACUUUUUUUAAGAAGAAGAAACCGAAUCAUUCAAACUAAGAUAAUCCUAGGAUAAGAGUCAUUAUCUAUUAACAUAGAGCUAAAGUUACAAGGUUGAAGGCUAGAGGGAAGCCCGAAACAACCUAAUCUAACAAAGCUUAAAGUUAAGAGUUGGUAGUAACAUCAUAUUGGUUACAAGAUGAAUGACGCCUAGACCAAACUCCGAUCAAGUUACAUAUGUCUUCCCACAAGUAAACAAUAAACCUUGAUUUAUCCUUAAAAAUUCUAUUGUUUCUUUCUAUCCAAACAGUCCAAAGUAAGCCAGUUAUGGAGGGAGGAAUACACAUUAGAAAGCUCAGUUAUGGAUGGAGGAAUACACAACUUUUUCUCAUGGUCAUUUUCCUCGUGGGCAUUAUCUUCAUGUUUCUUCUUAUUCCGACUAAAAUACAAGCACAAAUUAUUCUUCGCCUUCGUAUAGGUUUGUUUGAAGAAGAUUAAAAAAGUCCUUAAUUUAUCUCGACACUUCCAAAACCAGAAUAUAAUACCCGUGCUACAUAAAUCCCUCUUUCCAAAUAGUCAAACAUGAACUAUCCAUGAAUAUCUUGAAUAAACAAGAGAAACCCUAACUAAACCCAAAUAGAAAAUACGCUGCAAUCUAAAAUAUACUUAAAGAAACAAAAAGAAGUUUUAAUGAUGUGGGUUUUUUACUGAUCUUCUUCAACAACAAAAUAACUCAACGCCACAGUUCAAUUUUUCCUUCCACGAAUUGGUUUUUAAAGAGUUUUCACCGCGAAUUUAUCUUUUUGGUUCAACAAGUAAACAACAUGUGAAUCCCCAAAUGCAAGGUUUUAUUAAAAAAUUAAAAUAUAAUUUUUUUAAAAAAAUUAUAAUACCUAAUUUUUUUUUAUAUAUUUAUAACCUAAUUUUCUGUCAUUGCAUACUUGAGAGAAAUAUAUUUUCAAUUAGCAUAAUAACCUUUAUAUAGUAAAUUAAAUUUGUAGAAUGAGAAAAGACCUUAGAUCCAAAAAAGUUAUUUAUUUAUUAUUGGAGUGAAUUGUCUAAUUAAUGUAGUUAAUGGAUGGUUUUGUAACCAUAAAAAUAAUGAAAAUAAUUUUCUAAAAGAAUGAAUGAAAAUUUGGAAAGUUAAAAGGUUUUAGGAAUUAAAAAAAGGGUGUAACAUUAUAAAAGACUACCAAAUAUACUGUAAGAGACAUGCAUUAAAGAAGCUAAGGCAUGCAUACUACCAAAUAUACUAUAAAUAAACCAGAAUUCUUUUUAAGAAAUUAAACAACUAAUUAAAUAUAAAGAAGAAAGAUUAGAAAAUGAAUGAUCAAACAAACUAUGACUCAUUUAUUUUUGACAGGUUCGGCCAGUAUCACCUGACAAUUCAUUUUCACCAAGAGAAUAAACAUGAGUAGCCUUGGAAUCAAGUUCCUCCGAUAAAAGCCACGGAGUUGAUGGGUUAGAGACAGAACCAGAAUUUGAGUUCAACGAUCUGGAUGGAAAAUUCUGAAACUAGCAGCAACAAGAAGUUAAGAUAACGAAUUAUUUUCAAUAUAGAAAGGCUAAUUGUAAGAAGUUGUUAAUGAAGUGUCCAAAUGCAUUAUGGUAAUAUUGGGUGCAGAUUGUUUGGAAGUUUUAUCCGUGUGCUGUGAAGCACCACAGAGUUGAAGCAUAUGAAACCAGUGUUUAUCUGACAAAAAAUAAUGUCAUGAUCAUUGCCUUUCCAUUCCAUAAAUUUAUGGAUAGCAAAAGAAAGAGAACUCUCAACACAUGAAUCACCAUAAAGACACACAUGACAACAUUAUUUUGGAUGAAGUUCUAAUAUUGCAACCAUGGAGGAAAAAUCAGCAAAUCUUAAAUAGAUGUAGUAGUCCAAAUGAUAAAAGUUUGUCUCAAGAUAAUAUUUCAGUAACUGCAGAUGCAUUGUGCUGAAUCUAACUCUUGUGUUUCACGGUAAUGAACAAGGACAAUGUGUUCAAAGGUCCUGAACAAAAAGCAGAAGCAAGUCAUAAUUAUAUAAGUAGAACACGAUAUACUGCCACUGUCUAAUUUCAUUUUUCUUUGCUUGUGGCAUGAUGGGGAUAGACCCCACUGAAACAACUGGUAGCAAGCAAUUUAACAAUUUUCUUUCAACCAUAACAUACUUAUCUAGGAGCCAAUAACCCGCGAACAAAGGUUGGGCUAUCUAGUCCGUGGCAUAGUAUACAUGUAUCCUUUCUACAUUACCAACCUGCUGAAGAGAAAGAAAAGAUUAUCAAAGCACACCUUUCCUUGGUUAUUAAGGCUGUAAAAGAAUGAAAAUUACCAUAAAUCUAAACAUAGUUAAUAUUAGACCAUUGAACAACUUAUAGAUUCAAAAGGAAAGACUCAAACCACCAAUAGACUGGUUAAUCAUUUAAAAUGAUCUCCAACAACAUGAUACGCAGUAUAUCGUGCUAGAUCCAUAAUUACCAGAUGUGGACUCCUAUGGUAAUUUCAUUGAUGAUACGCAGCUAGUAGGCAAGAUUAUGAAAUGAAGACGGUAUGUGAGACGAUUGAAAAGAUCAAGAUGAUAAAAUUAUAGGGAUUUGAAUUUAUAUCUUAAGAACACCAGAGUCAAAUGCUUAAGAUGAUUAACUGUGUUAAAUUUAACUCUAUAAUAUAUAAAUUAUUAGCAAAAACAGUAGAAAUUACUUCAAAUUUGUAGAGAGAACAUAUAAAUUAUAUUCUAGAGAAAGAGCAUCUGAAUUAUAUUCUACAGAAACACGAGCCCAUAGUAUAUGUACUGAGUAGCAAUGACAGUGAAAAAGGGAAUAGUAAGUAACUAAUCUCAUAAACCCCUUUCUCACAUCUAACCAAGUUCUUUCACAACAUGCAAAAGCAUCAAAAUAUUUAAGAAAACUUCCAAUAUUGCAUUUGGAACUCAUUGAUUGACUUCAACGUUUAAGAGUCCUAAAAGACACAGCUUACUUUCUCACCUCUCACCACUAAACCUAUGGCAACAUCUUUUUAUAAGAUAUUAAGCUAAUCUUUAGAUUGUUUACCGAAUAAUCGUCUAUUGUUUUGUAAUUGAUCCCACCAAGCGCUUACGCCACCUUGAAGUUUGAGAGCAACUAAUCGAACCUUCUUGUGUUCGGGUGUAUUGGCAUAGUCGAAAAAAAUUUCUACGUUCUUGAUCCAAUCAAGAAACUUCUCCACGUCCAUUUGACCAUUGAAGGUAGGGAGAUCCACUUUCAUACGUAUUUCUUGAUCUUCUUGAAAGUAUGGUCGAAGUCCAAGCCUUUGUUGAGGUUCUUGAUGAAUGUUCAGCAAGUUGUUCAUCGGAAGAGUCAGAAUCGUUUAAGAAAUUUCCAAGUACGUUGUUUCCAUACAAUCGAUUAUUGUUGAUGUGAAUAGGUUGAUUUCUUAGUAGUUCUUGGUUUACAACAGGGUUUAUUGGUUUUUCUUGUCUUUCUUGGUUUGCUGCAAUUGGGUUUCUUGGGGGCUGAAUUGCUUCUUCUAAAGGUUGGACAUGAAAUCGGGUAAAAAGGUUUGUUAAUUCUACUAACGAUUGCUGUAUAUUCGAUUGCCCUUUUCGAAGUUCUUCAAUAGCUUGUUCUACCAACUGCAAGCGUUGGUUGAAGGAGGCUUCCGCGUCCAUGGAUAAGAGUGGUAGGAUCCAAGUUUUUUUAGGGAAGAGUGAGCUAGGAUCACGCUCUGAUACCAAUUGAUGCAGUAAUUGCAAAGCUAGAAAUCUUUAUGUAUAAUGCCUCUUUUUUUAUGUCUUAUUAAUGAAAAUGAGAAGCUUUUUUAUAGGCUGGAGAUUACAAGAGUUGUUAAACUAACUUGGGGUUGAGUUAGUUUAACUUGGAGUUGAGUUAGUUAUAACUAACUCAAGAUACAAAAUUGGUAAUUCAAAUAACUAAUCCUAAACUAUAAAAAUGGUAAUUCAAACCCCUCCUCUAGGAUAAAACUCAAGAAACAUCAAGAAGGUAGAUGUUCUACAUCAAAGUGUAGAGAACGAUUCAAAAUCCUUGGUGAAAGGAAUGAAUGUUAACUAAUGUGUGUUUAUGUGAAAUUGUUAUGUUAUGAGUAUGUUAAGGAUAAAGAAUGGUUUAUGCGAGAUAAAAUUAUUUGAUGUUGUUUAUGCGAAAUGAUGUCUAUGAAAAGGUAUUGCGAAAAGGAUUUCAUAAAACCUUAGUCUUUUAGACAUUCUUUCAAAAAUUCAUCUUCCAAGAUGAGGUGUUUAGGCCAAGUAGAGAAGAAGGUUGAAGGAUUUGCAGCGAGAUGACCAGACGUUUUGAAAAUAGUUAAGCAUUGGUUGUUUGGUCAAAGUGUUGUAAUUAUGUAUCAAACACAUGUUAUUAAUAAACAUCUUGGUAGGUAUUUAUUAUACUAAAGUCAAAGUGUUGGACUUUAGUAUUGCAUGGACAUACAAUUUUGAAUGAAAAAUCCUUAUAAAUGGGGCCUUUGAACUCAUUUGAUGGGUUGGCUAUUAUAUUUGGGCUUUCACACCAAAUGGAAUUUCUUUUUCUUAUUUACUUAAAAAAAAAAGAAAAUUUACCACGCCCAUUUUUUUCAUCUAUUUCUCUCGUCCGGUUCUUUCAUCCAACGGGUCCCACAACUCGAUUAUGAGUCUAGAGGAUACUAAGUCAAACUUAGUGGUUGUUCGAAUAAAACGCAGCUUCAAAUGUAAGUAUUCUAAAAACCUUAUUUUUUGGUUUAGUCUCGUUAACUAAGCCCAAUUAGGGUAGAAUUUCGAUUCUUUUUCUGUUGUGCAUGUCUUAGUUCUAUCAGUAACUCCUUUCAGGGUGAUAGCUCUCAUCAGCAGACUUUCCAUUGCUGGUUUCUUCCUUAGUCAUCAUUGUAUUGUUGUUUUCCACAAUAGAUAGGGUGAGUUGCAGUUUUACAUGAAAUGCACUGCUCAACCCACACUCUUUUCUCACUAGUUCCUUAUUCUCAAUCUUCAACGCAAAUUUCAUCAUCUGGGCCAACCCAAUCGGUUCCACGGUUUCCACUUCCAUUUUUAUUCAUGGGCUAAGCCCAAUCAUCAAAGUCUCCUCUAACACUACCGUUUGAAGAAAUGCUACCAGAGCUAAAUAUCGAUCAAAUCGGUUGCGGUAUUCUUCUACAUUCAUUUCUGUUUGAUUGAGAAAAAUCUUCCAACCAAAGUUCCUUCUCGAAUUGAUCGAAACUGUACAAGCAUUCGUUCUUUCAGGUCAGCCCAAUUCUUAAAAACUUCCAACUCUUCUUGUGCUUGGUACCAAUCCAAUGCCAGAUCAUCAAAACUAAUAACGCCUGUGGUUAAUUUCUCUGAAUCGGUAAGAUCAUGUAUCUUAAAGAAGCGAUAGGCUCUAAAUGUGAGACCCAUUUCUAAUUUGAGUAAUGAAGUAAAAUUGGCUAGGUAUUAAGAAUUUGGCGUUUGAAUAAAUCAACGAAAAGGAUUAAGCGAUAAAAAAAUUUAUGGUUAAGUAUACGUUAUUGCGAUUCAGUGGGUAGUUCGCGAAGGAAGUUGUGCGACCCAUUUCUAAUUUGAGUAAGGAAGUAAAAUUCGGCUAAGAAUUAAGAAGUUGGUGUUCAAAUAAAUCCAUGGAAAGAUUAAGUGAUAAGAUCUUUUACGGUUAAGUAUACUUUUUUGCGAUAAGUGGGUAGUUCGCGAAAGAAGUUGUGCGAUAAUGUAACACCCGAACUCUAAGGUAAUUAAUUUAAUCGGACCAUUCGAUAUUUUUACUCUUAAUUUUUGUUCGACGUCAUUUUGUUGUUUUGUCUUAAAAAAAAAAGUGUUGGAAAAGUCUUUCAUAAUAAUAAUAUAUUAUUAUUAUUAUUAUUAAUUAGCAUAAAAAAAAGGAAAAGAAAAAGAAAUUAAAAUAUCUUUUUCCUCUCUCCCCUCUCUCACGCGUGCGACACCCUCUCUCCAUCUUUUUCUUCUUCUCUUUCCUGUACCCUAACCCAGCCGACCAUCAUCUUCUCCCCUUCCCUUGCCGUUCAGAUCCAUGGCCUCCGCCCACCGCCGCGUGACCCUCUGCCCAGCCCCGCCGCGUGACCUCUGUCUCCGUCGAAGCCAAGUCCAGCCGUCGUCCAUUCCUUUCCUCUCUUCUUCUCCGUUCGUGAAGCCCAGUCGCCGCGUCAGAUCGUCGAUCGAUUUUGAGGCAGCGCGCACGCCUCCUUCUAGCCGCGCGUUUCCUCUUCUUCCAGCAACGUGUUUUUUCUUCUAACCGCGAUUCACAAACCGACGUACACUCUAAUCUGUUUGCACGAUGGUUUUUGUUUAGAAUCGAUUGCCGCUGCCCCUAUUUUUACUGAGAUCCGUCGAAGUAUUGUUGGUAAGAUUGAAGUUAUGAAAUUGUAGUCGUUUUCAAAACAAUUUAAGUAUGGGUUGUGAUGUUUUCAAGGUGUUCAAACGUUACGGAUGGGUUAAUUGACUAAUUUGAUAAAUUAUUCUUGAAGGUGUGAAAGGUAACCUUGGAUCACUUAAAUUCACAACCAAUUUGUGAAUUUUGAUUUCGAUUUCGUUUGCCCUUAUUUGGAUUGUUUCGUGGACGAUAGUUGAUUAAGGGAGCUUCCCUAACUUUGAGGUAAGGGACUUUCUACUGGACUCACCUAAAGUUUUUGAGUUGUGUUGGACUGUAUGGAUGAUGAUUAAGAUGUACACGUUUGGUUGCAGACUAAAUGUUUAGUGUAUGUUGUAUUUGACUGGAAACAUAUAUAUAAAUACAUUGAUGUGUGAAUUGAUGUGGAUUGCCGAAAGUAUACAUGUGAAUGACUGAAAUUAUGCUUAUGUGUACAUGAUGAUAUUAAUAGAUUGUGCUGUAUAAAGAUUUGGAUGUGAACUAGUGAAUUUGUUUCGGUUGAAUGUGGAUUAUACUGAACUGUGGUUUGCGCUGGUAAAAAUGAGGGGUGUUGUGACUUUGUUGUUUACUUGACAGAUGUAUUAAAAUGUUAUCAACGACCUUCGAACUUAAGUGAGAUAGGUUGACUGUUAGAAUGUUGAGUGAAAGAACUUUAUAUUUUGAAGUAACUGAAAGAUGUCAUAAAUUACCGUAAAGAUGGUUAGAAUGGAUUGAGGGGAAAAAUUGUUAGUUUUAUUGGGAUGUAUGCCUUGUAGGUGUCCUACGGGAUCACCAAUUUUUAUGCGACCUUCGGAGCAUUAGACUGAUAUGUGUUUCUGCAGAACACUAGACUGAAAUGUACGUCCCUCGGGGCGUUAGACUGAAAUGUGCAUCCUACGGGAUCACAAGACUGCGACUGUACAGGGUGUCCCAAUAGAAUGUUAACAAUUUAUUUUCCCCUGACGGGACCAGUAGAGGGUCUCUUACUGGGUAUUUUUAUACUCACCCUCCUUAUGUUUAAUUUUUCAGGCAAAGGUAAUAAAGGCAGCAAACCGGCGAGGGGCAGGAAGGAAGCGUGACCGCCACAGGGGACACUUUAAAAUUUUGCUUCCGCUUAGUGAUUUAUAGUAUUAUUUGUAUUCGAACGUGAGACUGUUUAGAAAAUUUUGAAGUUUUAAAGUAUUCAAAGAUUUGAAACUUUUUAGUUUUAAAUUUUCAUGUGAAUUUUAGUAAUUUAAAACUGGGGCCCAAACAAACAAAAUAAAUUUUGUUCUUUUGAGGUUUUAAAUUUUAAUUAACCAAGGUCUUUUGUCAAAAGUUAAUGACCUCGACUUAGGUAAAAAGUUGGGUCGUUACAGAUAAGAAGCGAAAAAGUCUUUGCGUAAGUUAAGAAAUGAAAGUUUUGAGUGUUAGACUAGGAGUUUUGGGUGGUCUUCGCGAGAAGAACCAAGUGUUUCGUGGAGAAGAAGUCUACGAGGAAGCCUUGGAGUUUAAGUUCGUGAUAAGAGUUUUAUGCGAGUAAAAGUUGGUUAGUUCAGGUGGAACGUUUCUUAUAAUAAAAAUAUAAUCAAGCGAUAAGGUUAUUCACGAGAAAUGUUAAGUGGUUGAAUUUAUUCACGGUUUGGGUUAGGCGGGGAGCAAGGUUUGUAAAGAAAAUGUCAAAUCUGAUUUGACAUGGGUUAACAUGUAAGAUUAAGGAUUUGAGCAUGACUAGGUUAAAUAUUAAGGAUUUGCAUGACUAAGUUAGUAUAAGGGAUCUAUAAAAUAGGAGAAUUUAGGUAACUAAGGAGGGGAUGACGAGAGUUUUGUUGAAAUGUUAAAGUGUUGUUGGUUUAGCCACGCGAAAAGAUGGUUGUGAGAAGGACUUCUUUAGUGAAGUUUGGUGAGUGCUUUUCAGUCAAAAGAAUUUAUGUUAAGAAACUUUAUUACGAUUUCUCUUUACUGAUUUGAAAGAAGAAUUCAGAUGAGAAUGUUUCAGAAAGAUUUCUACGAAAAGUUAUGUUUUCAAGCAUUAUUUAUAAUAUUAAAGCUUGAUUUGAUGACUAUGAUUUCAAUACUAUGUUUCUUUGAGAUGAUGCUAACUUUUGUGUGCACAUAAAGAGUGAAGGCCACCAUGGAGUGUACAAACUACAUGGUAAUAAGAAGCUGACUUAUGCAUUGAAAUGAGCGUAUAAAGCUUAGCGGUAUAGCAACAAAGACGAAUUUGUAUGUUCUCAGAUGUUGAUACAGUAGUCUAAACGCGAGGUAAUGAGACCAAGCGUAGAGAACGAUUCGGGAUCCUUGACAAAAUGAAAUGAUUUUUUAAGCAUAAAGAAAGGUUUAUUCGAAAUGAAAUAAUUUUUCGGUAUAUUUAAAUGAUUUGAUAUUAUUUUUACAAAAUGAUUAUGAAAAGGUAUUGUGAAAGGUUUUCAUAAAACCUUAAAGGAUUUAAAAAAAAAGUGGACCAUUCAACUUAAUUCCCAUCCACUAUCCUCUUGUCCAACAUGAAACUUUAUCUUAGUAAAACUUCUUGAUCCACUAUUUUACAAAAAUAUUCAAAACAAUACCAUACUACACCAAAUGUGAUAUUUUGGUAACACUUAAAAUGGUCAGAAAUACCAUUUUCCUGACUUUUUUUUCAUCGACCAUUAAAGAAAAAGUAUAGAUGAUGUUUCACAAAAACUUCCAAACCAUUGUGUUAGUUAUCGUUUUGGAUGAGGGUUGGGGUAGAGCAUCAAUACUCAAAGGUUGUUAAGAAUUAAGACCUAAGACUUGAAAACGAAACCGCCUGCCUGGUUGACAACAACACCAUCCCACUAGAGUGCACAAUGAUGAUUUAUUGCAUUAAGAAGAAGAUGGCAGUUAACCUUAGCGCCAUAAUCAGAACCUCAAUCCUCCCUUUGAUGAAAGCACCUAAAGGUGUCAUGCCUUUCCCCUCUACCACAUUGAAGCUCUUUGUCUAACACUACAAGAAAUGAGGACUCUCUCGAUGCAUAAAAUCAUUGGGAGAUAUAUAAAAAGCGUCAGAAAAGGCUUUUCUGACGCACUAAUAUACGUCGGAACACAAGUGAGGAAAAUGUAUCGGGAGAGGAACUCCGAUGCACAAUGUUGUGCGUUGAGGGUUUCUAGACAUCUUCCGACGUUGUAUGAACGUCGAAGAUGUUGUCAAUAUAGCAUCGAGAGAUGUCUAGGAACCAUGCGUCGGGAGAUCCUCUAUUUUUUUUUAAAAAAAAUAACUUCAUUUAAUUCCUAAAUUCAAAUUGAAAAUUUUAAAUUCAAACUCAACUUCAACACUUCAACCUCAACUUCAACACUUCAAUCUCAACUUCAACACUUCAAAUUCAAAUUUCUAAAACCUACAACUAAUUCAAAAUUCUAACAACACUUGAAAUUAAAUUUCAUUACUAAAACUUACAACUAAUUCAAAAUCUAAAUACUAAAGAAAUCUAAAAUCUAACACCUAAAACAAAUUUGAAAUCUAAAUACUAAAACUAAUUAACUAAAACAAAACAAUAACUAAACUAAACCACUUACCGAUGGCGACGACGACGGGACGACAACAGGGACGACAAUGGUGAUGACAAUGCCCUCUUCUUCUCAAUCUUCCUCUCGGUCUCCCUCUCCCUCUCUCAUUUUCUUUCUCUUUAUGUUUCCUUUAUGUAAAGAAUGGAGUUAAAAAAGACAGAGAACUCCUGACGCACGACGAAAACGUCGGGAAUAGCACCCUAUUCAUGACCUGAUUUGUUAAACGUCAGAAAUCCCUAAACAUAUUCCCACGCGAUUAAUGAUACGUCGGGAAUCCCUAAAUCUAUUCUCAACGUUGCUGCCACACGUAAGAGGAAGGCGUUACAUACAAUUAAUGAUCUGCCCUUCCUCCGACGGUUCCUAAGCUUUUAGCUUUUCUGCAAUCACCCCUUAUGCAUGUUCUCAGGCGAAUCUCAACCAAACCAUAACACUCCAUCAAAAUAAAGAAGAAGAGAGACACCUCAAAACCUUAAAUAAAGUUAAGGGAGAAGAAUGGAAUGACAGAGAAGAAGAAGAGGCUUCUCCGCUGCCACCACUACUCAAGAGGAGAAAUGUCCACGAUGACGCGUCUAACUCGUAUAAAAAGGAAAAAAGUCGAAAGCUAGACGUGGCCAUCGACCCUAAACCUCUUGCAAUCUGACCCCUAACUCUCUCAUUGCCUCCUCCAAAAUCCAAAUCCUUCAAUUCCAGUCCUCAUCCAAAAAUUGAAACUCCCCCUCAUCAAUCUUACCCAAGUCCUCUCGCAUGUCUAUUAUCCUCUCACCACCAAAUCCCCCAUCAUUAUAACAACAUCCUUCACCUCACGACCUGACCGAACAAGCCCUUACCCGAUCAAAAGGGCAUUGUUAGCGAAGAAGAAUUCCUUAGGGUUGAGGAGGAAGACCUGCAUCACAUUCCUCUCCCUCCGCACACUACUAUACGUAAUUCCAAGGAGGAAGACUUACAUCUCGCGUGUAAACACCGAUACCCAAUAAUCCUUAAUUCAUCUAAAGAACUCAAUAGGACAUUAGGGGUUGAUGUUAGGAGAAAGAUGGUUUAAGAUUGGAUAGUUUAGUUGAAGUGUUAUGGAAGAUGUGUUAAUAUUUUUAAGAUGAUAAAAGAAAAGUGUCAUCGUAACAAAGAAAGGCCUAAAGGGUGUUCGAAAAUUGGCUAAGUGUUGGCUAGGGCAUGUUGCAUACUCUAGGCGGCCAAAAGUGUCAAGCGAACCUCUAAAGAGACAUGUUGGGUGGCCAAAGGUUGAGAUGUGGUAUGGCCGAAAGGUGUCAAGACAACCUCUAUAAGACAAGGCUAUAUGACCAAGGGUAUGCGCUAGGCAAGGAAGCUAAGCAUCUAGGAAAUGUCAAGAAACUCUAAAGAAGUUAGAACGUGGAUAAGGAAUGUCAUGCAACAAAGAGGUGGGCUAUGUGGACAUAGGUCAUGCGGCCAAUGGGGCAAUUCAACCAAAUGCUAGUCAAGAUGGCAUGGUUUGUUGAAGGCAUUGAGGGAUGUUUGGGAGAUUAGGCGAGAAAAAAAAGUCUUAGGCAUUCUUGGCAGUAAGAAUUUACUAAAGAACCCUCAUAGAAAAAGGGAUAUGCGUCCAAGGAUGACUUAAGCAAUAUGAGGUAAGAUGUGCGGUAGAGUACAAGUGGACAACAUACAAGAUACCUAAGUUUUGCCAAAUAAGUGUCUUGCAUGAGUUGGAAAGUGGCAAGUAUGGGCGUAAGAGGUGAGAAAAAAAGGUUCAACCAAAGAGCAUGCAAGGAUCACUAUAUGUACAACUUUGGACGAAUUAUGUUAACAAUCAACUUGUGUUAAUUGGGUAACUCUACUUCGAAAAUCUCCUAAAUUGAGUGUAGUAUCAAGAGAAAGGCUACCAAGAAGAAAGGCAUUGAAGUGAAGAAAGACUCAAAGGUCAUUUUCAAAAAAAAAAAAAAAAAAACUUGAACAAUGUAGAGUAUUUUGAGCUACAUAACUCAAUACUUGGAAUUUGUUAGUGACACUUUGUGGUAAGCUAGUGAAGACAUUCUAAGUAAGUUUGUAGAAGGAAUCUUAUUGAUUUAAGCUUCAAAGUCGAGUUAAGUUUCUGGUAGAAAAAUCAUAUUUCUAGACAAGGCCAUGGGUGGGUUGAUUGCCAGGAUGACAAGGUGAGAUGAGCGUGUGUUUUGAGCGAAAGAGGUUAUUUAGGCUUGGGACAUGCAAGAAGCAUGUCCUGGCAUGAUCAAGCAGCCUGAGCCACGCGUCAUUACACACUCUAUUAUGAAAGUUGAGUAUAUUGCUACUUGUGAAGCAGCAAAAGAAGCAGUUUUGGUGAGGAAGUUCUUGCAUAAUUUGGAAGUUGUUCCAAACAUGAACAUGCCCCAUCACUUUAUAUUGUGAUAAUAGUGGGGCAUAUUACUAAUCCAUUUACAAAGACUCUCAUGGCUAAAGUGUUCGAGGGUCUUCUAGAAAGUCUAGAUCUGCGAGUUAUGUACAUUAGGUAAUCUAGGAAAAGUGGCAGAUGUGUAAUGGGUAUGAGGAUGCCCUAGUUUAUUGUAUUUGUAUAUACACAUUUUAUGUAAUACACUUGUACAUUUUACCAUUUUCAAUGUUAGAGGAUUACUUUAUUAUGAACAUCCCAAAGAGACGAGAGUUUUAGUCCAAGUGGGAGUUUGUUGGAAUUUAUGUCCUAAAACUCGUAGAUUGUAAAUAUAAUCCAUUGACCAUUGUUAAUAAAGUGUUAUUAUUGUAAUAAUUGUUAUUGAUUAUAUUAUUAGUUUUGUCUUAAUAACUCAAAUCCAAUAAACUAACAUCCUAAACUGUUUAAUAAGUAUUGAAUAGUAUGUAGAGACAUACAGGGAUCAAUGUUCGAGAUCAGCUUAAAGGGUCUAUAGUAUACGGAUAAGACUGGGUACCUUUAUCCUGGUAACAUUAUGAAUACGACUCACUUUGUAUUUGAUACAAAUACAAUGAUCCAAUGUGUUCAUGUAGUUGACAUGCGAGUGAAGGUAUCCUAUGCAAUGAGAUUGCAAUAGACUAGACUGUGAAAUAGUAACCACUUGGUGUUACUACAUUAACUAGUUAGGUUUCUAUUUCACUAGGAUGACCUAGAUAACUUAGUCUUAAUCUUGAGUGUAUUAUGAACUCAAUGAUCUUGGAUGAAUUUGACUUCAAAUACAAACUUGGAUUCCACAACCUAAACCAAAAUAAAAUAAUAUAUCAUGUUAAGAUGGAUUCACAUAGCAACAUUUUAUCAAAUGGUUGCAAUGUUUCAAAUAAGCAACAAUUAAAAUUCACAUAUCGAUUUGGCAUCUAUAAAUAUACAAACUAAAAAGUACCUAAAUGUCAAUUAUUUACCCAAUAAGGCUAACUAAGUAACCAACGUCUAAUAUGUUUUGCAAUGAAAAAGGUUGCCAUAUUGUUAAUUUGGCCAUAUUGUGAAGGCAACCUCUUAGAUGUGUUUGUGAGAAAGGAAAGAAAUACCAAAAUAAGUAUGGACUAAGAUAGUAUCAAAUAAAGUUAAAGUUGAAUUUUAAAGCUCUAUUUUUUUCAAGAUAGAGAAAUUUCAGCUAAAGAGGAAAACACUAAGGACAACCAAGCAAAAAAGUCUAACAAAUAUCAAAAGAGAACAUGCAGGAAAGAAAGAAUGUAAAUAAGGUUUUAUCCGCACCAAGCAAAAAAGUCUAACAAGUAUCAAAAGCUUCAUAAGUUGUACUAGAAUUCAAAGCUCUAAACUCUAAAGAAUGUAAAUUUCUUUGAAGAAAUUUGUGUAUAAAGGUCACACAGUUGAAAAUUCAAUACCUUUUCAAGAAUGUUGUUGAGAAGAUUAUUGUGAUGAAUCUUUGAAUCCAAAUUAUGGAGACAAGAUAAAUAAAUGAGUUCUGAUUCUAACUGACUGAAUGAGAGUUUAGAAAAUAAGAACAUUGGAGUUGAAUUAUCAGCAUUUAUUUUAAUCAAACUUACGAUAGCAAACCAAAUUAUAGAGAGAGAUCAAAUGCUAGGAUAAAGGAAUAAUCUUACAUUUGGUGAGUUCCCAAAUGUUGUGGUAGUCACGAGAGUUAUUCCACUCGAAUUGUCUUAGACAAGAGGCUUCCAUUCAGCAAGUACUGGUGAGAAUUAAAGUGGAAUGACAAACUUAAAAACACCUAAUCUUUAACAAACUUUUCCGACUUUUUGCAAUUAUUUUUUAACACAAGAUAUCAAAACACACUUAAAAACCAUAACAACCAAUUACCAUAAAACGGUGUCCAAUAACAAUAAUUGGGUCAACCCAAACAUCAUCAAAUUCUUGGGAAAGGUUGUGGACUAGACCUUCACCAUCUUGCCCCUAAAACAAGUUAAAGCUUAAGGAAAGAACACAGUAGAAACAAAAAUCAUAAACUCAUCAGUUAGAUAGUAUUGGUGGUCAAAACCUCAAGGUCUCACUUCUUCCAUUUUAUAUUACCAAAUUUGAAAAUGAUUUUUAAUAUAUGAUCAUUACUUGAAACAUGUUGGUGUACAAGUGUGAAUGAAACUAAAUCAAGUUUGUGUUUUAUGUUAUUGUUUUUGACAGUAUAUUUAUGUGCUAUGCAAUCCAUGAGAGUAUAUUUAUGUGCUAUGCAAUCCAGAAGGGGGAAUGCAAGCUAUACCCAAUUCAUAAUUGUAUUUGGAACACUAAUGAUUUUAGCACAAAUUCCAUCUUUCCAUUCUCUAAGACAUAUAAACCUUAUCUCCCUCACUCUAUACCUUGGCUAUAGUGCUCUUGCAACAUAUUAAAAUUCUCGUAAUUAAAAAUUCAUACACAAUUUAAAUUAAAUUAAACAUCAAGACCCCUGACGAAGAUGAAUCUCUGUUCAUUUUUCUUUUUAUUAACAAACAAAAGUUUUUAGGUCAACUUCUUUCAACAACCUCCUCAAGGAUCCUUAAUUAUCUCUUUCCAAGUUCAUAACCACUCUAGUCAUGCAAAGAUUAAGGUUCAUGGCCAAUCAACAAUUAAUCUGUGAUUAAGAUAUUAUGAACGCUAUUCACAUAAAAACAUGAAAAGAUUAAGAGCAAAUAAUCAGAUGCAUUACAAAGAAUAAUUCAUAAACUUUGUCUACAUCUAUCCCUAGGAUUAAGAGUUUAGCUACCCCAUACUUCACAAUCUAAAACACAAAACUCAAUACAAUACCCAUAAAAAAAAUUAAAGGAGAAGAAAAAGAAAACGAAGAAGAAAAGCUAGUGAUUCGUAUUAUUAUAAUACUGUGUAUAACAGUAUGUGUUUUUUAAUAUUCUCUGUUUCCAGCUCCAAUGUACCAAAAUAUUAUCACAAACUCCACAAUCCUUCUCUUUCCAAUCCCUAAACUAACCAAUGAAUCAUAUUCGCACGCUUGGUAGCCUUGUUCAAAAUAUUAUAUAUUACAAUUAUAAUAACUUGUAUCCCCCCUUUUCAAGCCUAAAAUGCAAAACCUUUCUUCCAUUCUCUAAGGCAUAUUUCCUCUUCUUUAAUUUUGCAUUCCAAUUUUAAAUUACAAAUUACAAAUUUUAAUCACAAAGGAAAAAAGGAAAAUUAUUACCUUUAGAAAGGGAAGAAAAUAAAUGAGUAACCAUGAAGGAUUUGGAAACGAAUAGAGGUUUAGCGAAAGUGGAAUGCGACAGAAGGACGGUGAAUGUGUUUACUCGUUUUCGAACAGAGAAUGUGUUUACGCAUUCCGAACGGUGAACAGACGGACGCAAAUCAACGAAGGUGAAGGGAACGCAAAGCAGACGGACGGUGACGGACGAUGAACGCAAAUGAAUGAAGGUGAAUGCUUAUGAACGCGAAGGGAAGUCUUUUCCGGCGAUGAACGCAGAUGAAUGCACAGAUGAACGCGAAGGGAAGGUUAGGUGAACGACGCUUUUGAUUUCGGGUGGAGAAGGGACAAAGUCGCGGCGAAUUAGGUUUAAUUAAGAAAAGGGGAAGUGAUCUAAUUGAAACGUUGGGUUUUGUAAAAGAAUAUUAACACAAUAAUUUUUUAGAAAUUUCUUGACGUUUUUAAAACGUCAAAAACAAAUUAAAAUUUCUUGAACUUUUUAAAACAUCAAUGAUUUUUUAGAAUUAUCUUGACGUUUUAAAAACGUCAAGAAUUUUUUAUAAAUUUCUUGACGUUUUUAAAAAUGUCAAGAACUUUUUAGAAUUAUCUCGACAUUUUAAAAACGUUAAGAAUUUUUAUAAAUUUCUUGAUGUUUUUAAAACGUCGAGGAAAACUAUAUAUUAUUGACGUUUAAAAAACAUCAAGAAAGUUGAAUUCAUAAACAUUCUUGACGUUUUUUAAACGUCAAAAAUUAUUAGAUAUUUCUUGAUGUUUAAAAAACGUCAAGAAAAAGUACAUCUUACUUGACGUUUAAUUGCAUAAAAAACGUCAAGAAAAAACGUCAAGAAAGUUGAAAAUUGGCCUUUCAUAAAAAUUCUUGACGCUUUUUUAUUUGAAAUCACAUCUUUCUUGACGUUUUUGGGAAAAAACGUCAAGAAAGGAAAACUACAACCGUCAAGAGAGCCUGUUUUUGUAGUAGUGAUUUUGGGGACAAGACUGAGUGGGGAGUUGGGAUUAUAAUUGCACAAAAUGGAAUUCACUCAUUUCCUACUGUAGGAUAAGUAGAUGAAUGUUAGCUUAAAUGGUGUCUCCAAAACUUAAACAAAGGGCCCGUACUCUCUCUAUGACAUGAGAGGGGUUUUUGUUUAUUAGUAGGACCAUAAACAAGUUGUUCAUUAGAGGAGCACUAGUUUUUAAGGAUUAGAGGUAACAUAGGGGUAAAGCGGUAAAUUGAUCCAACUGGUGUUACAAACACUCGUGAAGGACUAACUUACUAUUAUUGGUCUAUAUCCGUGGACACAGAAAUAUAUUUUUAGUGAGAAGAGUUCAGUUGUGAGUCUUUAGUGGAGUGUACACACAACUAACGAAUAUUGAUUAAUGUGGUUAAUGAGUUUAGCCAAUUAAUCUUAGAUCGUUGUAGCUUCUGAUCUGUAGGUCCACUAGGUCCCUUUCCUAGCUCGUAAAGGGUAAUGAGAUUUAUUUGUAUUAGUUGUAAUUUAAAAUGUUUAAAUUUAACUUGGGAAUUAGUAUAAUGUAUAGUGAUACAUUAUAAUAUAAAGUUUAUCAAACUUUACUAUAUAAAUUUAACUUUGGGGAUGAUUUAAAAUUAAUUUAUGAGAGAUAAAAUAUUUGAAUGAGUUCAAAUAUUAAUUUAAUGUAAAUUGGAUUCAUAUUAAAAUUAUUGAGAGAAACUUAUAUUUGAAUAUGAUUCAAAAUUAAUUUAAGUUAAAUAUAAGAUAAAUAAUUUAAUGUUAUUAGUUAAUUGGAGAAUUAAUUAAUAGUUUAGUUUAAUAUUAUUUAAUUAAAUGUGAUUUCAUUAAUUAUUAACUAAUUGAUUAAUGUUUAAUUAAUCAGUAGAUUUGAAAUAUAUAUUAAUUUAAUUGUUUGUAAAUUAAUAGAAUCUCAUAGUUCUCUUCUACUUCAUUUUUUAUUCCUAGAAGGAAAGAGAGUUAUAAUAUCUAGAAGAAAACAAUUUUCUUAAAAAAUGAAUAUAAUAAAAAAAGAAAAAAUAAGGCUAACGCUAUUGCUCUUUGCAAAAAGAAAAGAGUUUCUCUCAAUAUCUCUAAACUUUUUCCCAUCCCAAUUGGUUCCACAAACCAAUCUUAUCACAGAGGUACUCUUUGCAAUUUAAGCUCUCUUUGCAAUGGACAGUCUUCAAAGUUUUUUUAACGAUGUUUCUAAUGCUUUCCUUUCUCUCUCAUGUUUAAUAAAACAAAUUUCUCUUAAAACCUGUAGGGAGGCUACAUCGUAUCGAAUUUCAUACAACUGACGUGUUCAUCGAGUUACAACAAGUGCCGCACAAUAGUCUGUUCCAUGUUUGAAAAGUUGUGAGUGUGACACGCUGCACAUGAGGUUAGAACGAGACAUGGCAAGGCAAGCUCUACGCGCACCUGCCAACUUCUGCCACAAUAUUUUGUACGCAAGCUAAUGUCUUUGGGCUGUUUUUAUGGUAUUUGGAAAUUUUAAGCAAAGUUUUGAUAUUUUUAUGAUCAACAGGAAUUAAAUGGAAUUAUUUCCCAUUAUUUUCAUUAUUUUAGAUCAGAAGGAGAUCGAACAAAUUUAUAAGCCAAGGGUCCAAGCUACUCUCUAUAAGUGACAAAAAUGAGUUUAAAGUUGAUUUCUAAACAUGAAUUUACUAUCAAAUGUUUCAAGCAUGCUUUGAUGUUUGAAUAUUUGAGGAUACUGACUUAUAAAGUAUUUCCAAAGCAUGAAUUUAGAAACAUUUUGGUAAUGAAAAUUAUAAGCAAUCAUGAUUGUGCUAAGUUAUCAAAAUGUUUAAGCUUGAAAAUAAUAUUAGCAUGUUUUAGUCUAUACCUAAAAUAUUCUAAGAUAUAUAGCAACCCUUCGGGAGAGAUUUUCUUGUGCAUAGAGGUCAUUUGAUUUGGAUAUUCAGUAAAUACCUAGCUUUCCAUCAUUGGUAUUAGAUAAGAGAUGAAGACUUCUAAAGAUGCUUAGUUUCCCAUCUCAAGGGACGAGACCCUGUACGAAUGCCUAGUUUCCAUCUCAUUGUAGUUAUAACGAGAUAGGGCACAAUUGAUGCCUAGAGUUUCAUCUCGUAAGUAUCGUAUCACGGGAUAGGGCUUCUAUGCCUAGUUUAUUGUUUUUCGUCUUGACGAUUCUAGUAUAGCAACUGAAAGGGAAAGUUUGAGAUAAGUUGUUUGAGUUUGAUUUCAUUUAUGUUAAGAGUUAAUUGUUAAAUACUUAUUAUUUCAAACAAUGUUUUAUAAAACAAUCACUCAUUGGGCUAUUUAGCUCACUCUUUGGAUAAAUAUCCCCAUAUGGAUUACGUUGUUUGGAAAAUUAAACUGUCUUUAGUACUUCAAAGAAAACUUCCCUCCCAUGUCCUCUCACCUCAUGUCAUCCCAUUUGUGUUGAUAACAUGAAAAAUAUUUAGCACCUUUUAAUUGAUUAUGUCUUUGUAUCGAAAUGUUGGUUCCGUCUUCUCCAAACAUUCAAUAUUUGUUGGGAUUUUUUGCUCAAUCAAGGCUUAUUCUUGUUUGUUCUCGACCUGCUACCUAUGAUUUAUGAUUUUGUUUUGGACAUAUUAUUUUAUCAUUUUGUUUGGUUUUAUAUUUGUGGCUUUUUUUUUGUUUUGUUUUGUGUUUUGUUUUUUUUUUUUUUUGAAAAGGAGACAACCUCUUUAUUAAUAUUAAAAUAAUAAAAUAAUUAGACAAAAGCUCAUGGUACAAGAGAGUUAUACAAUGAACAUGUAACCAUGGAUCAGAGGGUGCACCUUGGCAUCUCAACUAGGUUGACACCCCCAUAGCACCCUCAUCAUAUCCAACCAAGCUAAAACCCAUAACAAAGGAGUAAUGUCCAAAGGCAAAACAAACACAAAAAAAGCCUUCUAUUUGUGGCUUUUGUUUUGAUCUUGUGUUGUCGCUUUUUGGAUGUGAUGAGGGCGCUAAGGGGGUGUCAACACUCAAACCUUAUGACGUAACAAAUGCAAAUUUUAUGACGUUUUUAGGGGUAGUCCCUCCCAUUACUAGCUCAACACUCAAACGGAGUCUCCUGUAUAAAAUAUAAAAUAAUACAGACACAAAUAGUGAAUGAAAUCUUAUGACGUAACAAAUGCAAAUUUUAUGUAUACUGCAAUUGACUAAAUAUUGAACAAGAAAGCCCAAGGGAAUACAAAAAAAUCCAACGUUUUUAGGGGUCAAUUUGAAAAAUGGCAAAAUUACUUUUUCUUUUCAAUUUUAGCAAACAACAUUUUUUGCACGUGCAUGGUAUUUUAUAAAAUACCAGAAUAUCAACAUUCUUCAACUGUAGUUAUUUCGUUUCUACAUUGUAAUUAAUUUAUGUUAUGCAUUUAUCAGUUUUUAAUUAUCUUUUACUUGAAAUAGAUACAUCAACUCAUAUCAUAAUAUUUUUCUUAAUAUCUCGAGUCUCAACUAAUUAAUUCACAUAUUAAUAACUUUAUUCAAUCAUACUAAUUUCAAAAUAACCUAAUUGAAUUUGAAUUUCAAAAUAACAAAAUUAUUAUUUUUCGGAAUUUGAGAGUCUCAACGAUAGAUUUUGUAUUAAAAUAACCUUAAUUGAAUUUCAAAAAUAAAAAAUAUCAACAUGUUCACUAUCUUUAUCUCAAAAUAACAUUAAUGCCUUGAAUAUCAAGAUAAUUAAAUUAUUAUUUAAAAUUGGAAGAAACUCAACAUUAAAAAAUAUUAACUUGUUCGCACACAAGCAUAGAAGCACUGCGCACACACGUACACAUGCACACUUACACACACGCGCACACACGCACAUCUACACACAGACACCCACAGACACACGAACGCAUGCACAUACACAUGCACACGCGCACGCAUGCACAUACACAUGCACACGAGCACGCAUGCACACGCACACACCUAUCCACACGCGCGCACAAGCACACACACAUGCACAAACGCACACACGCGUACGCACAAACGCACACACUUAUACACAUACGCACACGCGCACAAACACGCACGCACGAGCACACACACACCUAAGCACACACGCAAUAGCCUGCGCACACACACGCACGCACAAACACAUACAAACAUGCACACACCCACACAUAUAUGCACACGGACACUCGCAACAAACGCACGCACAUACACAUACGCACACCUACCUACACGCACACACGUACACACGCACAUAUGCAUAAAGAUGUAUAAAUGAGUUAAAAUUAAAAAAAAACUACAUUAAUUGUGUUUAGAAGGACUUUUAAACCAUGUUCAUUUGACUUAAUAACAUUAAUUAAACUAUAAUUUCUAUCAAUAUUGGCUUAAAAAGUGUCAUUCGUGUAAUUAUUUCAAUAUAAUGCGAUUUUAUCCAAUUCUAUUUGCAACAAACAGGUCGAAUAUGAACCAGUAGAUAUACAUGUCAUAAGAGAUAUAGGAACAUUUUUAUGGUCAUUUUGAAAAAUGCAAAACUUUUUGUAACGACCCAACUUUUCUAGGUAAGUCGAGGUCAUUAAUUUUUAAUAAAAGACUUUGUUGAUACAAAAUGAAGCGUAAGUCAAUUUAAAAAAAAAUAUGUCAGGCCUGAUUUUCAAAUAUCAAGAAAACUUAAAAAUAACACUAUUUACAAAUAAAAGUUUGUAAACUAAGUUUUUAGUACAUCUUAAACCUUAAAAGAAACAUAAGCGGAAGCAAAAUACACAUUUCCUAUGGCAAUCACGCUUCCUUCCUGCCCCUCGCCGGUUUGCCACCUUUAUUUCCUUUGCCUGAAAAUUAAACAUAAGAAGGGUGAGUAUUUUAAAUACUCAGUAAGAGACCCUAUACUGGUCUCGUCAGGGAAAAUAAAUUGUUAAAGUUCUAUUGGGACACCCUGUACAGUCGCAGUCUUGUGAUCCCGUAGGAUACACAUUCAGUCUAACGCCCCGAAGGACGUACAUAUCAGUCUGACGCCCCGAGGGACGUACAUAUCAGUCUAACGCCCCGAGGGACGUACAUAUCAGUCUAACGCCCCGAGGGACGUACAUAUCAGUCAAGUGUUCUGCAGAAACACAUAUCAGUCAAAUACUCCCGAAGGUGCAAAAUAAAUUGGUGAUCCCGUGGGACACCUACAAGGUAAACAUCCCAAUACAACCUAACAAUUUAUCCCCUCAUUCCAUUCAACCCAUCUUUCAGUUACUUCAAAUCACAAAGUCCUUUCUUUCAACAUCCUAACAGUCAACUUAUUUUACUACAGUCAUAUGUCUGUCAAUAAUAUGCUAAUACAUCAGUCAAUCACUAUACAGUCAAGUCAAUACACCCCUCAGUUCACCAGCACAAACCACAGUUCAGUAUAAUCCACAUCCAACUGAAACAAAUUCACUAGUUCACAUCCAAUCUUUAUACAGCACAAUCUAUUAAUAUCAUCAUGUACACAGAAGCAUAAUUUCAGUCAUUCACAUGUAUACUUUCGGCAAUCCACAUCAAUUCACACAUCAAUGUAUAUAUAUAUGUUUCCAGUCAAAUACAACAUACACUAAACAUUUAGUCUGCAAUCAAACAUGUACAUCUUAAUCAUCAUCCAUACAGUCCAACACAACUCAAAAACUUUAGGUAAGUCCAGUAGAAAAUCCCUUACCUCACUUUUAUGCAAGUUCUUCAAUCUACUAAAUCCAAUGAAUCAAAUCCUAAACAUAAUCAAUCAUAAAAUCAACAUCUUUCUAAAUAGUUUCAACCAUUCAAAUUACCCCAUAUGUAAAUUCCACAACUUACCCAAGAAGUGGAAAAUCAAGUCCACUUCAACCUUUUGGAAAAUCAAGGAUUCGCUCACUGAAUCAAGAUGUACCUUCAAGAAUUAAGCAUUUCGCCAACAAUUAAAUCCAAUGGCAGCAUCCAACAAAAACCAAGAAACCAACAAAAACCAUAACUUGUUCUUACCCAAAUAUGAGCCCAAUGGUUCACGGCGAGGCAGAUCUGGACGACGAUUUGCUUUGCGAGGGAGGCACGACGGUUGUGAGCGAGAGGCACGACGGUUACAGGCGGAUGGGCGCGACGGUUUAGAUCUGAAGAAGAAAAGAGAGGGUGGCGGUUGGGUUCGGCGAGCGGCGGCGGUUUUGCUUCGCGAACGGAGAUGGAGACGGCAAUUCGGCGCGCGGGACGACUGCAACGCAAAUCUGGACUGGCAGCGGCACGGUCUUGCUUCGCGGCUGGGUAUGGUGAAAAAGAAAGAGAAACGGAAGAAGAGAAGUCUCGGGUGGCGGUUGCUGGGCUACGGCGGUUGCUGGGCUGCGGCGGAAGGAGAAAAUGGAAGGAAGAGAUCGGCGGAAAGAAGGAGAAGAUGGAUGGGAGUCACGAUCGCACGGGAAGAAGAAGGGAGAAAAGAAAAGAAAAGAAAAGAAGAAAAGAAAAAUAAUAAAGAAAUUUUUAAUAUAAAGUAAAAUAAAAAUAUAUAUAUAUAUAUAUAUAUAUAUAUUACCUUUUUGGGCAUUACAUUCUUCCCUCCUUAAGAAACUUUCGUCCUCGAAAGUUCUAAUCCUGAAAUAACUCUGGAUAACGAGUCCUCAUUUCUUCCUCUCGCUCCCAUGUCGCCUCUUCAAUUCGAUGAUUCCGCCACAAAACCUUUACUAAUGGAAUGCUUCUAUUACGAAGCAUCUUUACCUCUCUAGCCAAAAUCUCCACAGGUUGUUCAACAUAGCUCAAAUGCUCGUCAAUCUCCAAGGUUCAUAGUCCACUACAUGAGAUGUAUCGGCCACAUACUUCCUCAACAUCGAAACAUGGAAAACAUUAUGAACUGCAGAGAGAGAUGGUGGUAAUGCCAAGCGAUACGCCACAACACCAACCCUCUCUAAGAUCUCAAAUGGUCCAACAAAACGAGGACUUAACUUUCCCUUCUCAAAACGCAUAACACCCUUCAUAGGUGCUACCUUCAAGAAUACCUUUUCUCCCACAUCGAACUUAAGGUCUUUUCGCCGUACAUCUGCAUAACUCUUCUGUCUACUCUGCGCUGUUUGCAUACGCGUCCUAAUCGUUUGAAUAGCCUCAUUAGUAGACCGAACUAAUUCAGGUCCCAUCAAUCUAUGUUCACCAACCUCACUCCAACAAACAGGGGUUCUACAACAUUUGCCAUACAAAGCCUCAAAUGGUGCCAUACCGAUGGUAGCCUGGAAACUGUUGUUAUAAGCAAACUCCAUCAAAUGUAGAUGAGAGUCCCAACUACCUGGAAACUCUAUAACACAAGCUCGUAGCAUAUCCUCUAAAACUUGGUUCAAACGUUCAGUUUGACCAUCAGUCUGUGGAUGAAAGGCUGUACUGAAAUCCAAUCUCGUACCCAUAGCAGUCUGAAGUCCCUUCCAAAACUUGGAAGUAAACCGUGCAUCCCUAUCAGAAACAAUCGAUACAGGCACUCCAUGCAGUCUCACAAUCUCAGUUAAAUACAACUCUGCCCACUUACUAGCAGUAUAAGUGGAUUUUCCUGGUACAAAAUGUGCCGAUUUCGUAAGCCUGUCUAUGACAACCAGAAUCACUGUGAAACCCUUCAGGGUCUUAGGCAGCCCUGAAAUAAAAUCCAUCGACACAUUCUCCCACUUCCACUCUGGCACACUUAAGGUUGUAAUAAACCUGCUGGUUUCUGUCUAGGUGCCUUAACUUGCUGACAUACUAGACACUUACUAACAAAUUCCGCCACUUCCCUUUUCAUAUUCCGCCACCAAUAAAAUCGUUUUAGAUCCUGAUACAUUUUCGUGCUACCAGGAUGCAUGGAAAAUGGGGAAUUAUGGGCUUCAUCUAGUAAGUCAAUCUUAACUGUACUGUUCGCUGGCACACAUAAACGUCUCUCAAACAUCAACCCACCAUCAGAGGAUAUGGAGAACUCAUCAGUCUGCCCUGUUUCAACAAGGCGACGUCUCUCCAUCAAAUAAGGAUCAUUACUCUGAGCAUCAACAAUCUUGUGCCUCAGAGUCGGUUGCACCGUUAAUUGAGCUAGCUGUGAGGUGACUCUCCCCACAGACACUGCAAUCUCAGCUCUCUCCAAGUCUCGAUGCAAUGGUACCUGUCUAGUAAUGAGUGCUGCCGAAUGUGAUACUUUUCUACUAAGAGCAUCAGCCACCACAUUCGCCUUACCAGGAUGGUAUAAUAUCUCACAGUCAUAAUCUUUUACCAACUCGAGCCACCUUCGCUGUCUCAUAUUCAACUCCUUCUGAGUGAAGAAGUACUUUAGGCUCUUAUGGUCAGUAAAGAUUUGUAUCUUUUCACCGUACAAGUAAUGUCUCCAUAUCUUCAAUGCAAAAACCACUGCUGCCAACUCCAAAUCAUGUGUGGGGUAGUUCUGCUCGUGACUCUUCAACUGACGAGAGGCAUAAGCAACCACCUUACCUUUCUGCAUCAAAACACAACCCAGUCCUUUCUUGGAAGCAUCACUGUAAAUCACAAAACUUCCAGAUCCAUCUGGUACAGUAAGGACCGGUGCAGUAACUAACCUUUGCUUUAAGUUCUGAAAACUAUCCUCACAAGCUGGACUCCAAACAAACGGAGUUCCCUUCCUUGUCAACUGAGUCAAAGGAGUAGCCAAACGUGAAAAAUCCUCCACAAACCUCCGGUAAUACCCUGCUAAACCCAGAAAACUACGAACCUCACUAACUGUGAGGGUCGAGACCAACUGGUAACCGCUUCUAUCUUUGCAGGGUCUACUGAAACUCCCUCACUGGAAACCACAUGACCAAGAAAAGCCACCUGCUUCAACCAAAAUUCGCACUUAGAACUUAGCAUACAGUUUAUUGACUCGAAGAGUCUCUAACACCUUAUGUAAGUGUUCCUCAUGUUCGGCUUCAGUCUUGGAAUAAACCAAAAUAUCAUCAAUGAAGACUAUCACAAAAGUGUCCAAGAAAUCCUUAAACACCCUGUUCAUCAAAUCCAUAAAUACAGCAGGUGCAUUAGUCAAACCAAAAGACAUUACUAUGAAUUCAUAAUGUCCAUACCUCGAACGAAAAGCAGUCUUAGGAAUAUCACGGUCUCUAAUCCUCAACUGGUGAUAACCUGACCGUAAGUCAAUCUUAGAGAACACCGUGGCUCCCUGUAACUGAUCGAACAAAUCAUCGAUUCUGGGUAAAGGAUACCUGUUCUUGACUGUUACUUUAUUCAACUCUCUAUAGUCAAUGCAAAGACGCAUCGACCCAUCCUUCUUCUUCACAAACAAUACUGGUGCACCCCAAGGUGACACACUAGGUCGAAUAAAGCCUUUGUCAAGCAAUUCCUGUAACUGUACCUUCAGUUCUUUCAACUCAGCAGGAGCCAUCCUAUAAGGGGCUCUAGAAAUAGGAGUAGUGUUUGGCUCCAACUCAAUGGCAAAAUCAAUCUCUAUGUGGCGCAGUCCUGGAAGAUCUUUUGGAAAUACAUCUGGGUAUUCUCUUACCACAGGUUCUGAAGUUAAAGAAGUCUCACCUUCCCUAGUAUCCACCACACUUGCCAAAAUACUCCAAGUACCCUGGCUGAGUAGUUUACUAGCUUUCAUAGCUGAGAUUACUUUAGGCAGUACUACUGUUCCUACUCCCUUGAAUUUAAAGCUAGAUGCAGUAGGGGGACUAAACACAACUUCCUUACGAGAACAAUCAAUACUAGCAUGAUUAGUAGCUAGCCAAUCCAUACCUAAAAUUACAUCAAAGUCACGCAUAUCUAAUACCAACAAGGUUACGUCCAGCACACGACCAGCUAUCUCAAUUUCACAUGCUUUAAUCUUUUCCUUAGACAACAUAAUUUCUCCAGACGGUGUAGACACUGACAAAACAUAGUCUAAGGGUUCCACCUCUAAGCAUGCAUGCGUCACAAAAAGCGAUGAAAUAAAUGAAUGAGAAGAUCCCGAGUCAAACAAGGUCAAGGCAAAAUGCCCUAAUACUGGUAAUGUACCUGUCACUACUGUGCCGGCCUUCUCUGCCUCUGAUCUAUUAGUGGCAAAGAUUGUACCCCGCUGUGGAGGUCUCUCUCCCUGACUGCUCGAUCCAGCCCCAGUAGAUCUCAAGGGACACCUAUCAGCCAUGUGUCCCUCUUGCUUGCACUUAUAACAGACUCUCGUUCCCAUCAAACAACGACCCAGGUGGCGUUUCCCACACGUAUUACAUACUGGCCUCUCUUGAGUAGUGUCUCCUGCACCGCCAGAACUCUGCUGGAAACUGCGAAAAGAAUCACCUGGUCUCAUGUUCCUCUGAGGAACUCCUACAGUUCUCUGCUCUACUUUUCUCUUUUGACCGACGACGAUCCCUUAUUAAAGCUCCUUGGCUGUCUUUCAUCCUUCCCAAUACUCAUAUCCACUGCCAGACGCAGUGCUUCAGCUUGGGUAGUGGGCUUUAGUGCUCGCACAAAACCCCUAAUUUCAUCUCUCAAUCCCUUGACGAACCUAUCAGCUCUAGCCUGCUCAUUACUAACAAGCUCAGGGGCAAAACGUGACAGCAUAUCAAACUCCUGGUCGUACUCCUCGACUGUCAUAUAUCCUUGCUUCAACUCCAAGAAUUCCUGGCUUUUGGCGUCUCUAAGGUUAGCCGAGAAAAACUUGGUAUAGAAGCAGUUCUUAAACUGAUCCCAGGUAAUUUGCCUCACAUCUCCACCUAGCAUGCGCAUUGUAGUCCUCCACCAGAUAAUGCCUCUGUCCCUCAGUAGAAAAGCAGCACACUGAACUCUGUGCUCCUCGGACAUCUCAUGUAAUUAAAUAUGGUUUCCACAGAGGACAACCACAUUUCAGCUUUAGUAGGAUCCUCCAGUGACCCAUCAAACGUCUGAGGGUCAUACUUCCGAAAGUCCCUCAAAUGUUUCGCCUCAGCAGAAAGUUGGUUAGGUAAUUCUUGUGCAGGAGGGGCUGCUGGUGCAGGGGAACUACAGGUGCAGGUGGAACCAGGUGCCUGCUGGUUUUGAGCUAUAGCUGUCAUAAGUUCUGUAAACCUCUGCUCCAUGUGAGCAGACAGUGCAUCAAACUCAACGUGAGUCACGGGUGCAGCAGGAAUUCGCUGUUCAGCUUGACCCUCAGUAGGCUGAUUACGACCUGCUCCUCUACCUCGGCCUCCUGCUCUCUACGACCUCCUCUACGUACUUCUUCCCUUGGCGGCAUAAUUCCUAUUACCACCAACAACACUCUUUAACAAAAUCUUAAUCAUAAACAUAAGCAAGUCUUUAUCGUCAUGCAAUCUAGUUUAAUUUAGGCAAGGUCAUGCAAAUAAACCAUACAUAUAAGCAUCAAGCAUACCUGACGAGAGACGAAGGGUCGCGUUAGCCAUAGGAACACAAAAACAUAGACUUACAUCGUAAGUCAGUCUACAGAACCUAAAACUUAGGCUCUGAUACCAACUGUAACGACCCAACUUUUCUAGGUAAGUCGAGGUCAUUAAUUUUUAAUAAAAGACUUUAUUGAUACAAAAUGAAACGUAAGUCAAUUUAAAACAAUCUAUGUCAGGCCUGAUUUUCAAAUAUUCAAGAAAACUUAAAAAUAACACUAUUUACAAAUAAAAGUUUGUAAACUAAGUUUUAGUACAUCUUAAACCUUAAAAGAAACCAUAAGCGGAAGCAAAAUGACACAGUUCCUAUGGAAUCACGCUUCCUUCCUCCCCCUCGCCGGUUUGCCACCUUUAUUUCCUUUGCCUGAAAAUUAAACAUAAGAAGGGUGAGUAUAACAAUACUCAGUAAGAGACCCUUACUGUCUCCGUCAGGGAAAAAUAAUUGUUAAAGUUCUAUUGGGACACCCUGUACAGUCGCAGUCUUGUGAUCGCGUAGGAUACACAUUUCAGUCUAACGCCCCGAAGGACGUACAUAUCAGUCUAACGCCCCGAGGGACGUACAUAUCAGUCUAACGCCCCGAGGACGUACAUAUCAGUCUAACGCCCGAGGGACGUUCAUAUCAGUCUAGUGUUCUGCAGAAACACAUAUCAGUCAAAUGCUCCCGAAGGUGCAAAAUAAAUUGGUGAUCCUGGGACACCUACAAGGUAAACAUCCCAAUACACAACCUAACAAUUUAUCCCUCAUUCCAUUCAACCCAUCUUUCAGUUACUUCAAAUCACAAAGUCCUUUCUUCAACAUCCUAACAGUCAACUUAUUUUACUACAAUCAUAUGUCUGUCAAUAAUAUGCUAAUACAUCAGUCAAUUCACUAUACAGUCAAGUCAAUACACCCCUCAGUUCACCAGCACAAACCACAGUUCAGUAUAAUCCACAUCCACACCGAACAAAUUCACUAGUUCACAUCCAAUCUUUAUACAGCACAAUCUAUUAAUAUCAUCAUGUACACUAAGCAUAAUUUCAGUCAUUCACAUGUAUACUUUCGCAAUCCACAUCAAUUCACACAUCAAUGUAUAUAUAUAUGUUUCCAGUCAAAUACAACAUACACUAAACAUUUAGUCUGCAAUCAAACAUGUACAUCUUAAUCAUCAUCCAUACAGUCCAACACAACUCAAAAACUUUAGGUGAGUCCAGUAGAAAAUCCCUUACCUCACUUUUAUGCAGUUCUUCAAUCUACUAAAUCCAAUGAAUCAAAUCCUAACAUAAUCAAUCAUAAAAUCAACAUCUUCUAAAUAGUUUCAACCAUUCAAAUUACCCCAUAUGUAAAUUCACAACUUACCCAAGAAGUGAGAGAAUCAAGUCCACUUCAACCUUUUGGAAAAUCAAGGAUUCGCUCACUGAAUCAAGAUGUACCUUCAAGAAUUAAGCAUUUCGCCAACAAUUAAAUCCAAUGGCAGCAUCCAACAAAAACCAAGAAACCAACAAAAACCAUAACUUGUUCUUACCCAAAUAUGAGCCCAAUGGUUCACGACGAGGCAGAUCUGGACGACGAUUUGCUUUCCGAGGAGGCACGACGGUUGUGAGCGAAGAGGCACGGCAGUUACAGGCAGAUGGCGCGCGACGGUUUAGAUCUGAAGAAGAAAGAGAGGGUGGCAGUUGGGUUCGGCGAGCGGCGGCGGUUUUGCUUCGCGAACGGAGAUGGAGACGGCAGUUCGGCGCGCGGGACGAUGCAACGCAAAUCUGGACUGGCAGCGGCACGGUCUUGCUUCGCGGCUGGGUAUGGUGAAAAAGAAAGAGAAACGGAAGAAGAGAAGUCUCGGUGCGGUUGCUGGGCUACGGGCGGUUGCUGGGCUGCGGCGGAAGGAGAAAAUGGAAGGAAGAGAUCGGCGGAAAGAAGGAGAAGAUGGAUGGAGUCAGAUCGCACGGGGAAGAAGAAGGGAGAAAGAAAAGAAAAAGAAAAAGAAGAAAAAAAAAUAAUAAAGAAAUUUUAAUACUAAAGUAAAAUAAAAAUAUAUAUAUAUAAUAUAUAAUAUAUAUAUAUAUAUUUACCUUUCUUUGGGCAUUACAUUUUUUUUUUAAUUUUAGCAAAUAACAUUUUUUGCACGUGCAUAAUAUUUAUAAAAUACCAAAAUAUCCACAUUCUCCAACUAAAAUUAUUUUGUUUCUAUGUUGUAAUUAAUUUAUAUUAUGCAUUUAUCAACUUUUAAUUAUUUUUUACCUGAAAAAAGAUACAUAAACUCAUAUAUAUACUUUUUUCUUAAUAUCUCGGGACUCAACUAAUGGAUUCAAGACUUUAACUUUAUUUAAUCUUACUAAUUUCAAAAUAACCUAAUUGAAUUUGAAUUUCAAAAUAACCAAAUUGAAUUUCAACAUAACAAAAUUAUUAUUUUUCAAAUUUGAUAAUCUCAGAAAUAGAUUUUGUAUCAAAAUAACUUUAAUUGAAUUUCAAAAUUAAAAAAUAUCAACUUAUUCACUCUUUAUCUCACAAUAAUAUUAAUGGCUUGAAUAUCAAGAUAAUUAAAUUAUUGUUUUUAAAAUUGGGAGAAACUCAACAUUAAAAAAUAUCAACUUAUUCACACACAAUCACACGCGCACACACAUACAUACACUUGCACGCACGUGCACCCAUACACGCACACACACACGCGUGCACACACACACACACACACAAACGCACACAUGCACACGCACACCAAACCGCACGCACACAAAUACACACACACACGCACACUAAUGGUUCAAUUUCAUCGAUUGUUCCUAUUUUUCUGACAGUUUAUUUUUGCCAUCGAUAGAGGAUCUUCCGACAGACCUGCGUGACGGUGUGUGUUGACAGCUUAAUUUCGUUGGCAAAAGAAAAGUCGAUUAGUUUUUGAAGAUUUACUGACGAUAUUUGUCAUCGACAAAGGGUAAAUUUCUUGUAGUGCAUGUACAUCAAACAUAUCAAAUUUGUUAAGUGUACCAAUGAAGUAUAAGAAGUUUAUUAGUGGUGUAUCAAGCGUAUCAAACUUAUAAGUGAAGUCUUUAAGUGUAUCAAACUAAUCAAGUGUAUCAAGGUCUCAGGGUAUCAAGUGUAUCAAGAAGAAUCAAGUGUAACGAGAAGUAUUAUGUGGAACGAGAAGUAUUAUGUGUAUGAAGAUGUUUCAGGUGUGUAUCAAAAAGUAUCGAGUGUAUCAAUGAGUACCGAGUGCAUGAAUUGUAUCUAUCAAAUGUAUCAAGUGUAUCAGUAAGAAAUAUCAAGUGUAUCAAGCGGUAUUAGGUGUAUCAGACGUGUAUAAGGUGUAUCAAAUGUACAUCAAUAACGAGGGCAUUUGUGACAUUUUACCUCUUGAUGUGUGAGUUGGUCUUUGUUUUUGUCAUUUUCUCAAAUAAUAAAGUAUGUGUUCUAUGAACUUAAUUAUUAUAACUUACACUACUACAAAAACAGGCUCUCUUGACGUUUGCAGUUUUCCUUUCUUGACGUUUUUUUCAAAAAACGUCAAGAAAGAUUUCAUUUUUAAUAAAAAACGUCAAGAAAUUUUUUGAAACAUCAUUCUUGACGUUUAUUAAAUGUCAAGUAAAAUAAAUUUUUCUUUGACGUUUUUAAAACAUCAAGAAAUAUCUAUUAAUUUUUUGACGUUUUAAAACGUCAAGAAGCGUAUGAAUUCGACAUGCUUGACGUUUCUUAAACGUCAAGAAUUUAAAAUUUUACUCGACGUUUUAAAAACGUCAAGAAAUUCAUAAAAUAUUCAAGAAUAUUUUUUAAAUUACACUGAGAAGGUAUCGAAUUUUAAUUUUCAGCUCUAACAUUUUUCCUAAUCUACUUUUUUCUUCUUCACGACUGAGUAUUCGAGGGAGUCAUUUUUUGAAUUUGUUGACAUUUUUUAAACGUUAAGUAAGAUCAUUUUUUUUUUUACAUUUUAAAAAUGUCAAGUGUUAUUAAAUAAAUAUAAAAAAUAUAUUGGGCUAAUUUUAUUUCUUUAAAAUCUCUUUAAAUAUAUAGAUACAAUAAUAAAAAUCUCUUUAAAUAUAUAGAUACAACAAUAAAAAUUUCUUUAAAUAUAUAUAGAAAAAAAAUAUUGUACUAAUAUUAUUCAGAAUCACUUUAAAUAUAUAUAGAAAAAAUUAUUGUGCAAAUAUUAUUUUUUAAAAAGCCCUAGCCCCUUUCUACUCAAAACACGCGUGUUCCCCUUUCCCUCUCCAGCCGAAAUCCUUCCCAUUCGAAAAAAGUGUGUUCAGCAGUCGUCGUUCGCUUUCAACGCCUAUCCGUUCGCCUUCAACGUCUGUCCGUUCGAUUUCACCGUCGAGUUCCACCUCUUCGAAUCCCUCACGUCCGUCGUUUCAAAGUCCUUCGUCCGCUGCAUUCCAUCUUUCCAAAAUCCCUCAGUGCCUCACGCUACUGCGUGCCCGUCAUUUCGACUUCACCAACGAGUGCCUCACGUUCGUUGCUUCAAAAUCCAUCAUCCACUAAGUUGAGGUUAGGCUUUUAUUUCCCUAAAACAUAUAACAAUUUCAUUAUUCUUCAUUAUAUAAACUCAGAUGGCAUGAUUGGCAAUAAUAGAUAGGAAGGAUGGAGGUGUAAACUUCGAAUUGAUUGAAAUUCGUAUACUUUUAUUCAAUCUUUAAAGUACUGUAGUUUUUCUUCACCAUCAAAUUUUAUUAGGAUUUAAAGAAAACAAAUGAAUGUAUGAACAAAUUUUUGGGAGUGCAUGUCAUAUAAUCAACUUCCCUCUUUCAGUAAUUUUGAAGAUCUCAUAUAACAAUACUACUAAUUGAGAGCUUUGGAGGAUGAGUCAAUUCUUCUCCCUUCGUGAAAAGAAAAAGAAAAAAAGAUCAUGUAUUCUCUUUGUUUGUUACCUUAUGUUGUCCAAGGUUUUGCCUUCUUCCUUAAUAAUUUGGAGGUGUUUUAACUAAUUUUUUCAUUCACCCUCUUUUUGCCAUAGUUGCUUUUGUGUGCAGCUUGAGAUUUUUAAUUCAAUUGUGUGUUUUUACUUUUUUCUAUUGGGUGAAUUCUGUUUUGACUUUUUUUAAGCUAAAUAUAAUUAAUUGUUUCCUAUGGAACCAUAACCUUGAUCUUGGUUAUAGAUUUCAUUUUAAGGUAAAAGUAAAACACUCUUAUUUGAAUGAUUAUGUUGUAUUAUCCAUUGAAAGACUUGGUGUUGUAAUUGCCUUGUCUUCCUCAGGUAUUCUGUUGUAUGGUUGAUUACGAUCUUCAUGAUUGGAAUCUUUGUUUAGUGAAGCUCAUUUUGUUUGAUUUACUCAGUCGUGCAAUUGCUUUCUUUUUUAUGAUCACUUUAAAAAAGAAAUGAGUUUAGUUAGUUCUUUUAAUUUUCUUAAGUUUCAUUUGUAAUGCAUGAAAAUCUCUUAGCAGUAGAAACUGAAGACCAUAAUUGUAGAAGAUUUGUAUAGAUUGGAUUCACAUUCUCAACAUUGGUUAUACAGGCAUUACUUAUCAUUGUCCUUCCACUUUAAUUAUCAAUAGUGACAAUAACUUUAUUUCUCAUUAGAUUUACAAUGAUGGAUAAAUCUUGGAUGCACAAGAGUAGAUUGUCUAAAGAUUAUGAGUUGGGUGUGGAAAACUUCAUCAAAUUUGGAUUUUCUAAUACAACUAGCUCCUAUAUUCGUUGUCCUUGUUUGAAAUGUGGGAAUUGUGAAAAACAUAGUAGAAAGGGUGUUAGAGAUCACUUGUAUGUUAAUGGUAUUGAUGAAAGUUAUAAAUUUUGGUUUUGGCAUGGGGAAGAACUUCCUAACUCAUCCUUCUAUGAUGAAUCUUCAAAGUUUGACACCCAUACAUGUGAAGAUCAGGAUGUUGGAAGUGUAAAAGAAAUGAUUGAAGUUGCUCAUGAGGAGUAUUCAAAAGACCCAACUGGAUUUGAGAAGUUGCUUAUUGAUGCUGAAAAACCAUUGUACGAAGGAUGCAAAAAGUACACAAAGUUGUCUACUCUAGUCAAAUUGUAUAAUUUAAAAGUUAGGUAUGGAUAGAGUGAUACUAGUUUUUCAGAAUUACUUGAAACUUUGAAGGAAAUUCUGCCUAAUACCAAUGAGCUCCCGAAUUCAUUGUAUGAAGCAAAGAAAACAUUAGGUGCAUUAGGAAUGGAAUAUGAAAAGAUUCAUGCAUGCCCGAAUAAUUUUGUCUCUAUAGAAAAGAAUUUGCUAAUGCAAUUGAAUGUCAUGAAUGUUGUCAAUCAAGGUGGAAAAACGUCAAGGAUACAAAUGAAAGGAGAAAGCAAAUUCCCUCUAAAGUGAUAUGGUACUUUCCAAUCAUUCCACGAUUUAAAAGGCUAUUCAGAAGCAUUGAAUGUGCUGAAAACUUGACUUGGCAUUCUACUGAAAGAAUUAAUGAUGGUAAGUUACGACAUCCAGCCAGACUCUCCAGCAUGGAAGUUAGUAGACAUGAAAUGGCAAGACUUUGGUUCUGAACCCAUAAAUCUUCGUUUAGCAUUGUCAGCCGAUGGAGUAAAUCCUCAUGGUGACAUGAGUUCUAAAUACAGUUGUUGGCCGGUAGUGAUGGUUAUUUACAAUCUUCCACCAUGGUUGUGUAUGAAAAGAAAGUACAUGAUGCUAUCAAUGCUAAUUUCAGGACCAAAACAACCAGGGGAUGACAUAGGCAUAUACUUAGCACCACUAAUUGAAGAUUUAAAACUUUUAUGGGAAAGUGGUGUUGAAUGUUAUGAUGCUUAUCGAGAAGAACCAUUCAACUUAAGGUCAGUUUUGUUGUGGACAAUCAAUGAUUUUCCUGCAUAUGGUAACCUUAGUGGAUGUUGUGUGAAAGGGUAUAAAGCAUGCCCAAUUUGUGGAGAUAAUACAAAUUCUAUAAGGUUAAAGUAUGGGAAGAAAAUGGCAUACCUUGGACAUCGUAGAUUUUUGGCACGAAAUCAUCUGUAUCGACGACAAAAGAAGUCAUUCAAUGGUAAAAAAGAACUUGAUACAAUUCCAGAGCCACUUUAUGGGGAGGAUGUGUAUUUAAAAUUGAAAGAUCUUGAAUUUUCUAGAGGGAAGAAGAACCAUAAGAAACGGUUGAUGAACAGAAGUGACAAAAUUUGUUGGAAUAGAUUAUCUUCUUUUUUUGAGUUGCCAUACUGGAAGGAUCUUCAUGUUAGACAUUGUUUAGAUGUGAUGCACAUUGAAAAAAAUGUUUGCAUGAAUAUCUUAGGUACAUUUCUUGAUAUUCCUGGAAAAAGUAAGGAUGGAUUGAAUGCUAGACGCGAUUUAGUUGAUCUAAAACUUCGACCAGAGCUUGCCCCUAUCAGAAUAUGUUACUCCUACUAAUUACUUUCAUUAUGUAAAAAAGACAUCUAAACGUGAGGAUGAGAUUAUACUUGAGAAUAAAGAACUUCGAAGGCGUGUAAGCGAAUUAGAAGCACAUAACCACUCAAACUUGUCUAGACCAUUAUCUGGACAUGGUAGCUGUUCGAAGCCAAAUAUCUUAGAAGAGAGUGACUCGAUGAAAAUAAUCAAAGGGAAGAGUAAGUUGAUGGAUAAAAUCGAAGGGAAAGAGGUGGAGGAGAUCAAUGUAAAUGACGACAAAGUAGAGUUGGACAUCUUUAAGGUAUGUGAUCGAUCCUCUAAUAAACUCAAAUUCUUAAUAUUCAUAUCAUAUUGAAAGUGAAUGUUUUUCUUGAAUUAGGAGAGAGCCUUAAUAAAAAUGACUAAGGAAAAAGAGGUUGUCUGUGAAUCGACGUCAGUUUUGCCAAUGGGAAUGAAGUUGAUUCUCAUAUACGUUGAGAAGAUAAUGGAGAAAGAUUCUAGUAUCACUAUUCCACUACUGUUGGCAUUUUUGGUAUUAGUCGAAAGACUUCUGUUCUCCGAGAGGACAUCAUUGAUCUUUGUAACAUGAAUGAGGUCAAAACAUUUACAUUGGUGGCCUAUAUGACGUAAGUAUCAAUUUCAUUUCUUUAGAUCUAAAUUUAUGUAUCUCGUUUACAAGUUUAUAAUAUUUUGUAGGUACUUGUAUUCAUCUGUUCUUGGUUCGAAGGAAACUAUACAGUAUGUCUUUGUAGAUCCAUCCCUCACCUCUGUCGGACACUCGCAAGAAUCUCGAGUUCGACACUUAUGCAGUAGAUUGAUGGUCUCAAAGAUUAACGAAAUAGUUCUUGCUCCUUUUAAUCCUGGGUAAGUCAAGUUAUUUUAUUACUUGCAUUGCAAAAAACUAGUACUAAUAUUUUGUAUAAUUAGGGGUCAUUGGGCACUGCUGGCCAUAAAUGCAUAUGAUGAUAUAGUAUUUUACCUCGACUCACUAAGGACAACAUCGAAGUCAACUAUAAGAUACGUCACCGACACGUAAGUUAAUCUAGUAUUUCAUUUAGUGUUGAUUCUUAUAUGCAUGUACACAAUAUUUAAACUAUUUGUUCAAUCUUAUCUUGUCAAAACAGAGCAAUAGCGAUGUUUCAGUCACAAAAGAACAUUAAAAAAAGUAGAAAACAAACUUUAUGGCUAACAGUAAAGGUAAGUAUCAACUUUUAAAGUCAUUAAAUUUUUGUAGACUACUAGCAAUUAGGAUUACUUUGUUAUUCAAAUUUGUUGCUUUUAUAUAGUGUCCACUGCAAGGAAGUAUUGAGUGUGGAUACUAUGUGAUGAGGUAUAUGAGAGAAAUUGUGACUAGGGGAAGCAUUGUCAUAUCCGAUGCGGUAUGUUAUAUAUCAAACUAUUGGUUUUGUGAGUUAAUUGGUUUAUUUGUAUAGUCAGUUAAUUCAUUUAAUUUAUUUUGUAUGUUUAUUGAUUGAUACACGAAGAUCAUACUCACAGGCAGAACUACACGAGGUGCGAGUUGAGUUAGCUGACUUUUUGGGUUCUUACAUAUGAUUAUGACCAAUAUUUUGUGAUUCUGAAGUAGGAAAUUUUUUGUUGUGUCGCUUCUUUAUGACCCUAAACUUUAUGUAUAGAAACUUUAGCCGAUAAUUCUUUUGAAUUGUUCAUAUGGAGGAAGGGGGGAGGGGGGUUCAUUCGUAUAUAUUUUUAUUAUUGUUAUAGCUAGCAUGUUUUGUGACUUUUUAAGUUGAUUUGGAUUCAUGGCAAUGUAAUGCCAUAUGAAAUCUAAUGUAAAGCCUAUUUCAUUAUGUAUAUGUAAAGUCUUGGAAUUGAAUAUAUAUGGUGAAUGGUUUUAUUUAUAUAUGUUUGAGAUUUGAAACUAUAUUUGAUGAAUAUCAAAUAUCUAUGAAACUGUUGUGGACAAUUACAGGAUAAUUACAGGACAAUCAGAAUAUAUUUCUUUCCAUUACAGCAUAAUUCAAUUACAAUUUCUUUUUUUAAAAAAAAUUAAAAAAUGCUUGACGGUUUUAAAAUGUCACGAACAAUUGCAAGCUUGACGGUUUUAAACUGUCAUGAACAAUUGCAUUUUUACGGUUGACAAAUGUCAAAACAAUUACAUUCUUGACAGUUUUAAAAUGUCAUGAAUAGUAAAAUUCUUGACGGGUUUAAAAUGUCAUAAACCAGUUCAUCCUUGACGGCUUUAAAAUGUCAUAAACAAUACCAGUCCUGACGGUUCUAAAACGUCAUGAACAUAAGUAUAUUUGACGUUUAUAAAACGUCAACGUUCACUAUUCUUGACGUUUAAUCAACCGUCAAGAACUUUGCCUUUCUUGACGCUGGCUUCAACGACGUUUUUAAAACCGUCAAGAGAGCCGUCUCUUGAAGUUUAAAAACGUCAAGAGAGCCUGUUUUUGUAGUAGUGUUAUUUUGCCAUUUUCGCAAGUGUCCCUUAAUUGUAAUACAUGUAUAUGUGACAUAAUCUAAUCAAACUAACCAUAAAUGGACUUAAUGUAUCAGGUAUUAGGUGUAUCAGACGUGUAUAAGGUGUAUCAAAUGUACAUCAAUAACGAGGGCAUUUGUGACAUUUUACCUCUUGAUGUGUGAGCUGGUCUUUGUUUUUGUCACUUUCUCAAAUAAUAAAGUAUGUGUUCUAUGGACUUAAUUAUUAUAACUUAUUUUGCCAUUUUCGCAAGUGUCCCUUAAUUGUAAUACAUGUAUAUGUGACAUAAUCUAAUCAAACUAACUCAUAAAUGGACUUAAUCGAUCUCAUGGACCACGAAUUCUUCAAUUACUUGCAAAUUUGGUGAGUUCCUUCAAACAGUGGGCGAAGAGCUUAAUUUUGAGAGAGAGGAAAAGUCGUGAAGAGUAUAUGCGAGAGAGGGGGAACGUGCCAGAGAGCAUUUGCGAGAGAGCUAAAGACAGCGACGAUGUGGGAUGAAGUAAGGUUUUUUUCGGUCGUUGUUCACAGUGGGAUGAAAGCUUCGAAUUAUUUGUUUUAAAUCAAAAGGCGUAAUGAUUGAAGGAAAACAUUUAUUUUUUAUUAGGGUAAUUUUUAAUGACACAUAAUUUAUGUCAUUAAUUAACAAUGCGAAAAUUUUGUCAAGAAAACUCAAUUUGUGUCACGAAAAAUUUUGUAUUUUUAUUUUUAACGACACAUUUUAUUCCCUCAUGUCCCUUUUUCUUGAUUUCAAGUGUCAUUAAAACUUAUUGUUGAAUAAGAAAUUUUGAGACCAAUCACAAGUUGCCACAUCAUUUAUUAAGUUAAUGAUGAAAAGUACAAAUAAUUAAAUUUGGGACUAAUUAAAAUUGACAUAUGCUCCAAAUUAAAGAGUUGAAAAUAAAUAAAAUGGUCAUUCUAAUAAUGCCACAUGUUUUCAUAUUAAUAGUUGGAUUAAGUUAAUCAUUUUAGUUCAAUUAAAUAUUAUUUACUUGGACUAAGUUCAAUUAAGCCCAAAAAAUAAGCUUAAUUGAGCCCAAAGACUAAAUAUAACCUAAGUCCAUAUGGUUGAGCCCAUGCGUCUGGUCCAUGGACCAACUAGGUUCAAACCCAUAAAGCCCACCAGUGAACUCUAUAAAUAGAGGAAUUCUCCUCAUUUGUAGGGGUUGGAAAAUAUUGACUCUAGAAGAUCCAGAGAGAAUUCUUCAAAGAGCUAGAAGACUCCCUAACUCCUGAAGUUGACCAUCCUCGAAGAUUGAAGCUUCUUUAAAGAUACAAGCUUUCUUCCAAGGCUUCAACUUCAAGAACAUCACGUGCUUCGCUUCCUCCAAAUCAAGCUGAAGCAUCCAGUUGAGAGAGAAUCAGAGGAUCAAAUUCUAGAGAUUGAACCGCAUCGCAUCAAAUCAACAAAAAUACAACAUCAACUCAAGUUCAAGUCCACGAAUUAAAUUUCUCCAGAAAUCUCGUGCGAACAAAUUGGCACGCCCAGUGGGACCAUCUCUACCUCUCAUCUCUCUCUCAUCAUCUAGAUCUACAAGCAAAUCAAUGGCAUCAAAGAAAGUUGCAUCCAAAUCUUCAGCUGCAAGCGACACCUACACGGGACCUAUCACCUGUAGUCGUUCCAAGGGGAUCAUCCAAGGGCAAGACCAAGGUUCCGCCAUCGCGCAGAGCAUCCUGAAGCAAUUAAUGGAAUCUCCUAAAGCUGGAAUUGUCAUCAAGGAAAAUCCUCUAUAUAAUGAUUAUGAUUCUGCCUCUAGCAGGUCACUGAAAGAAGCACACCCAGAUGUGAUGUCCGUCAUGAUGGCUGAUGUAGCAGUCGAGACUGCCAUGGCGGAGAUGGAGAGAAAAUUAAUCUCCUGAUGAAGGUUGUUGAUGAACGAGACCACGAAAUUACAGCUUUAAAGGAGCAGAUGCAGACUCGUGAAACUCUGAAUCGAGUCAAACUUGUCGUUAAAGUUGAUGACAAAGGGAAGAACGUGGUACAAGAAAAUCAGCCACAACAACAAUCAACUUCUGUGGCUUCUCUCUCGGUUCAACAAUACAAGAUAUGAUCACAAACUCCAUCAGAGCACAAUAUGGAGGCCCAUCUCAGACUUCUUUCAUGUACUCUAAACCAUACACCAAAAGAAUCGACAACUUGAGAAUGCCGCUUGGAUAUCAGCCUCCAAAAUUCCAGCAGUUUGACGGAAAGGCAAUCCAAAACAGCACGUUGCUCACUUCGUCGAAACAUGUGAGAAUGCAGGAUCAAGAGGAGAUCAACUAGUCAGACAAUUUGUUCGAAGCUUGAAAGGAAAUGCUUUUGAAUGGUAUACUGAUCUGGAGCCAGAAAGCAUUGAGAGUUGGGAACAACUAGAAAAGGAGUUUCUCAAUCGCUUCUACAGCACCAGGCGUACUGUAAGCAUGAUGGAGCUUACAAAUACGAAACAAAGAAAGGGAGAACCAGUCAUCGACUACAUCAAUAGAUGGAGAGCUCUAAGUCUUGACUGUAAAGAUCGGCUCACCGAACUGUCGGCUGUAGAAAUGUGCACCCAAGGCAUGCACUGGGGACUCCUCUACAUUUUGCAGGGAAUAAAGCCCCGCACAUUUGAAGAACUGGCAACUCGAGCUCAUGAUAUGGAGUUGAGCAUCGCCAGUAGAGGAACUAAAGAUUUUCUUGUUCCUGAAGUAAAGAAAGAUAAGAAAGAGAUGAAAGGUGCUGAAAAGAUAGUGAAAAGCACCGCGAAAGAAUCUAUGGUCGUAAACACAACCCCGCUGAAAUUCUCCAAAGGAAAGGAAGCGAGGGUUGAAAAGAAGGAUGAUGGAAGCGAAAGGCGACGUCUGACUUUAAAAGAAAGGCAGGAAAAAGUUUACCCAUUUCCUGAUUCAGAUAUCGCUGACAUGCUAGAGCAACUACUAGAGAAGCAGCUGAUCCAGCUGCCAGAAUGUAAACGACCUGAGCAAGCAGGAAAGGUAGAUGAUCCCAAUUACUGCAAGUAUCAUCGGGUCAUCAGUCAUCCAGUAGAGAAAUGCUUCGUGCUGAAGGAGCUAAUUCUAAGGUUGGCUCGUGAGAAAAGGAUUGAGCUAGAUUUGGAGGAAGUAGCUCAAACAAACCACGCUGAAGUGACGAUAAUGUCUGAGGCUUCUUCGUCGAGAUUGAUUUUUGAGCAAAGGAAAAGCUUGGUCCAGUUCGGGACCUUUGAGCCUAUAGUUGUCCAAUUCUUUCAGGAAAUCUCAUACGAGGAUCCUCAAGGAGAGAAAAGACCAAUCGAAGAAGACGAUGAAGGGUGGAUAGUGGUGACCCACCGAAAGAAAAGACAGUCGAUCCCGACCCAAAGAGAGUCUCGCUCUUACCAAAACUAUAGAAGAGGAAAUAAGACUCAAAAGAAUAAGAAAAAGAAGAAGACUCAUAAGCUUAAGCUCGUACAUAAUGAAGACAUGAAUUUCUCUCGACCUCAACGCUUAGUGACCUUGCAGACUUCCUUCCAAAAAGCUUCCUUUGUGAUCAUCAGGAUGAAGACCCAGAAGUCGUUGCGUGUCAUGCUAUCAACACAACGGAGGAAGAAAUAAUCCCUCCAAGAUCACUAGAAGGAGAGGGAGUAUCAAAAGACCUUUCAAGGUUUAAUGUAGAGGAUCUAUUAUCACUUCCUCAAGAGACCAAAACCAUCCUUAUUGAUGCAUUGCUAAAUUCAAGAGCAUCAAGUUCGAGUACUCCGACUAUGACAUAUGAGAGUGGUUCUUAUUGUAUGUCUAUAGACUUCUCAGAUGAGGAUUUGUUGUUGGGAUCUAAACUUCAUAAUAGACCUUUGUAUGUUUCUGGAUACGUUCGAGAACAGAGAGUCGAUCGAAUCCUCAUUGAUAAUGGCUCAGCUGUCAACAUAAUGCCAAAGUCGACUAUGUGGCAAUUAGGCAUCUUGAUGGACGAGCUCUCAAAUAGCAAGCUAGUAAUUCAAGGUUUUAACCAAGGUAGCCAAAGAGCAAUAGGCAUGAUACGGUUAGAACUCAUAAUUGGCGACCUAAAGGCCAGUGCAUUGUUUCAUGUCAUAGACUCAAGGACUACUUACAAGUUGUUACUAGGGCGUCCUUGGAUUCAUGGAAACGGAGUAGUAACUUCAACACUGCAUCAGUGCUUCAAAUUUUAUCAGGACGGUGUAAAGAAGGUUGAAGCCGACUCUAAUCCAUUCUCAGAAGCUGAGUCUCACUUCGCAGAUGCAAAGUUUUAUUCAAAGAAUAAUAAUAUUUUAGAAGUUUUGCCUGCAGAAACCCCUCUUACAAAAGGAGAAGAUAAUUCACAACUGAAAUCACUCGCAACCACAGAACCACAUGAAAGUGCGAGAACCUUUAACUCUGGAAAGGGUGAAGCAUACACUAGCAGCACAAAGGGUAUGAUCUUGAAGGAUGAAAAUGCUGCAAACACACCAGUUUUGCGUUAUGUCCCUCUGUCAAGGCGCAAGAAAGGCGAAUCACCAUUCAUGGAGUCUCCAAAAGGUUUGAAAGUUGGUGACAUCGAAAUCAUAAAAGAAAGCUUCACUACACCACUAACUAAGAUAGCGAAGCAGGAGGUAAAGGUAGAUCUGGUGGAAGCAAACUUGCCCCAAAGGCGAACGAAAGACGGAUUCGACCCCAAGGCUUACAAAUUGAUGGCGAAAGCAGGUUAUGACUUCACAGCUCACACCGAGUUUAAAAGCUUGGAAAUUCAUGACCGACCUGAGCUCUCCUCAACUCAAAAGAAGCUUCUACGGAAGGACAUUCUAUACCCGUGUCGAGAAAAGGACUCGGAUACAAGUCGCCAGAACCGAUCCGUAUAACUAAAAAGGGAAGGAAAAAGUGGUUGACAUCAAUCAUAUAACUAUAGAGGAUGACAAUACUGACGUAAAAGAAGGUGAUAAUCAGAGAAUCUCAGUAUUUGAUCGAAUUAGACCAUCUGUUGCACGUCCCGUAGUAUUUGAAAGGCUAAGCAUGACAGAGGCAGAAAGAGAAAGGCUCCAGUCAGUACCAAACCUUGAGAGACAUUCGGUCUUUCGAAGGCUAACUACGACUCCCAUAAAGGAAGAAAGCACAUGCCAUGCCUUGACAACUACAAGACCAUCAGCCUUUGAAAGGCUAGGUGUGUCUAAAAAAAAAAUGUACAAGCACCCCGUGCUCCGAUUUUUAAUCAUCUCGGGGAUAAAGGAUCACACGACAACAUUGAUUCCAACAUAGCAAAGAAGAAGGAACCAAUGUCUCGUGUGAAAGUUUGGCGUCGAAUUAAGCAUACAGAUGUCGAUAAUUAUCGUAGUAAGAAGUUUCCUUGCGAGACAAAGGAAAAUGGAGAAAUUCAUAGCAACGUUCCUUCUCGCAUGAAAAGAAAAACUUUUGUUACUCUCAAUACAAGUCAAGGUUCGUUAAAGGUAAAAAGACAUGAUGUUAUACUAACGAAUCCUGAAAAAGAAGGGUCGGAACAAGGGGAAGGUGAAACUUCAUGUCAUCACAUCACCAUUAUUGAGGAAUCAGAGACUGGAACUCAUGAAGAAGACGCAGAAAAUGCCCCACAAAGUUUAGAGGAUGGUGGUCAAUCUACUGUAGACGAGCUAAAAGAGGUGAACCUUGGUACAAUAGAGGAACCACGUCCGACUUUCAUUAGUGCGUCCCUCUCUAACGAAGAGGUGGAUAAAUAUAUGAGUUUGCUCACCGAAUACAGGGACAUCUUUGCGUGGUCGUACAAGGAGAUGCCAGGACUUGACCCAAAAGUAGCAGUCCAUCAUCUUGCAAUUAAACCGGAUAUCGACCGAUUAAACAAGCACAACGACGUUUUCGACCGGAGCUUAUCCCUCAAAUCGAGGUGGAAGUCAACAAGUUGAUCGAAGCAGGAUUCAUUCGCGAGGUCAAAUAUCCAACGUGGAUAGCAAACAUUGUCCCUGUUAGAAAAAAAAAUGGACAACUUCGCGUUUGUGUAGACUUUCGCGAUCUGAAUAAUGCAUGCCCUAAAGAUGAUUUUCCCUUGCCCAUCACCGAAAUCAUGGUUGAUGCAACUACUGGACACGAGGCGUUGUCGUUUAUGGAUGGGUCGUCUGGAUAUAAUCAAAUACGGAUGGCCCUCUCAGAUGAAGAAAUGACAGCUUUCAGAACUCCAAAGGGAAUAUACUGUUACAAGGUGAUGCCCUUUGGAUUGAAAAAUGCCGCGCUACUUAUCAACGUGCCAUGCAGAAAGUGUUUGAUGAUAUGUUGCACAGGUAUGUUGAAUGUUAUGUUGAUGAUCUUGUAGUCAAAACAAAGAGACGACAAGACCAUUUGAAGGAUCUAAAAGUCGUGUUUGAUCGCUUGCGAAAAUAUCAGCUAAGGAUGAACCCUCUCAAGUGUGCGUUUGGUGUAACUUCAGGAAAAUUUCUUGGCUUCAUUGUAAGGCAUCGAGGGAUCGAAAAUAGACCAGUCCAAGAUUGAUGCCAUUCAGAAGAUGUCAAGACCUAAAAGUUUGCAUGACCUAAGAAGUCUCCAAGGACGACUGGCUUACAUCCGAAGGUUCAUCUCUAACUUGGCCGGUCGGUGUCAACCUUUUCAAAAGUUGAUGAGAAAAGGAGAAAAUUUUGUGUGGGAUGAAGCUUGUCAGAACGCUUUUGAUAGCAUAAAGAAAUACUUGCUUACUCCCCCAGUGCUGGGAGCUCCAGUACCUGACAAACCACUAAUAUUGUACAUUGCUGCACAAGAAAGGUCCUUAGGAGCAUUACUGGCACAAGAAGAGGUAAAGGGAAAGGAGCGUUCUCUCUACUAUCUAAGCAGAACAUUAAUUGGGGCUGAAGUUAACUAUUCUCCUAUCGAAAAGAUGUGUCUUGCACUUUUCUUUGCCAUUGAUAAGUUGAGGCAUUAUAUGCAGGCCUUCACGGUUCAUCUAGUGGCAAAAGCAGACCCUAUAAAGUAUGUUCUAUCCAGGCCAAUCAUCGCUGGACGCUUAGCCAAAUGGGCGGUUCUACUCCAACAAUAUGACAUUGUCUAUAUUCCCCAAAAGGCGAUAAAAGGACAAGCGCUAGCAGACUUUUUAGCAGACCACCCAAUUCCUUCGGAUUGGAAGUUAUGUGAUGACCUACCAGACGAUGAGGUUUUCUUCACAGAAGUUAUGGAACCUUGGACUAUGUACUUCGAUGGUGCAGCUCGAAGAAGUGGUGCGGGGGCAGGCAUUGUCCUCAUUUCUCCUGAGAAGCAUAUGUUGCCUUAUAGCUUUGCACUUUCCGAAUUGUGUUCAAACAAUGUGGCUGAAUAUCAGGCUUUGAUAAUUGGCCUUCAAAUAGCAUUAGAAAUCGGAGUGUCAUUCAUAGAGGUCUAUGGUGAUUCAAAAUUGAUAAUCAAUCAACUCUCGCUUCAAUAUGACGUGAAACAUGAAGACUUGAAGCCAUAUUUUGCUUAUGCUCGACAAUUGAUGGAAAAGUUUGAUAAUGUGAUGUUAGAACAUGUCCCUAGAGUAGAAAAUAAGAGAGCGGAUGCAUUGGCAAAUUUAGCCACGGCCUUGACCAUGCCAGAUGAUGUAACUCUGAACAUACCACUUUGUCAACGAUGGAUUAUACCCCCAGUUAGGCCUGAAUGUCAGGAAGUGAACAUGGCAACAUCCUAUUUGAUUGAUGAAGAAGAUUGGCGUCAACCCAUCAUAGAGUAUCUUGAACAUGGAAAGCUUCCAAAGGAUUCUCGUCAUAAAAUUGAGAUACGAAGAAGGGCAGCACACUUCAUUUAUUACAAGGGAACUUUAUAUCGCCGUUUUCUUGAAGGGCUCUUCCUUCGAUGUCUCGGAAAGGAAGAUUCGGUAAAAGCUCUAAAGGAAGUACAUGCAGGUGUUUGUGGAGCACAUCAAUCGGGACCAAAGCUUCAAUUCCAGCUAAGAAGAAUGGGCUACUACUGGCCUAAGAUGAUCCAAGAUUCAAUAGACUAUGUGAAGAAGUGUGAGCCUUGUCAAUACCAUGCAAACUUCAUACACCAACCUCCAGAACCUCUUCAUCCAACUGUGGCUUCUUGGCCUUUUGAGGCUUGGGGACUCGAUCUGGUUGGCCCCAUUACACCAAAAUCAUCAGCAGGACAUUCUUAUAUCCUAGCAGCAACAGACUAUUUUUCAAGGUGGGCUGAGGCCAUUUCAUUGAGAGAAGCCAAGAAGGAGAACGUGGCAGACUUUAUUCGAACACACAUCAUCUAUCGAUACGGUAUUCCACAUCGAAUCGUGACGGAUAAUGGAAAGCAAUUCUCCAAUAGUAUGAUGGACAAGUUAUGUGAAAAAUUCAAAUUCAAGCAAUAUAAGUCAUCCAUGUACAACGCAGCUGCGAAUGGACUAGCAGAAGCAUUCAACAAAACAUUGUGUAAUCUUUUAAAGAAAAUUGUCUCCAAGUCAAAGAGGGAUUGGCAAGAAAAGAUCGGCGAGGCAUUAUGGGCUUAUCGGACGACUCAUCGCACCCCUACAGGGGUUACACCAUAUUCGCUUAUUUACGGUGUGGAGGCUGUCCUUCCUCUCGAAAGGGAAAUUCCGUCACUAAGAAUGGCAGUACAAGAGGGAUUGACUACCGAAGAUAAUGUGAAGUUACGUCUUCAAGAAUUAGAAGCACUUGACGAAAAGCGAUUAGAGGCUCAGCAAGCAUUGGAAUGUUAUCAAGCGAGAAUGUCCAAAGCUUUUGAUAAACACGUUAAACCUCGCUCCUUUCAAGUCGGUGAUCUAGUACUUGCCGUAAGGAGACCGAUCAUCACAACAAGGCAUACAGGAAAUAAGUUCACACCUAAAUGGGAUGGACCUUACAUUGUUAAAGAAGUUUAUACAAAUGGCGCAUACAAGAUCGUUGAUCAAGACGGACUACGAAUUGGCCCAAUCAAUGGUAAAUUUCUUAAAAAAUUUAUGCUUAAUUUUGUUAGGUAAAAAAAAAAAAAAAAAAGUUGAACUACGUUAUGACUUGAUCCCUAUAUUAUAAAGGGUACGUAGGCAGCUUAAGGAAAACCUUAAGCCCAGUCCAGCAAAAAAAAAGUUGAACUACGUUAUGACUUGAUCCCUAUAUUAUAAAGGGUACGUAGGCAGCUUAAAGAAAACCUUAAGCCCAGUCCAGCAAAAAAAAAAAGUUGAACUAUGUUAUGACUUGAUCCCUAUAUUAUAAAAGGCAGCUUAAAGGAAACUUUAAGUUCAGUCCAAUAAAAAAAAAAGGAAGAAAGACAAAUUACAUUUAAUAGAAAAUAUGAUGAGGAGUGGAACAAUGAAAGAAUAAUUUUUUUUUUAUUAUUAUUAUAAACUUCUAGCAAAAAAAAAUUAAAAAGGCAUAAGUAGAUAAAUAAGAGAAAGCAGAGAAUCAUGGAGUCCAUUUAAAGUUCUUCAGCUCCUCUAGUGUGCUUUCUAAAGAUUCACGAAGUGUUGAUAGCAUUUUAGCAUCAAUAUCUCCAACGAUCGGGGCACAUUCGAGUUUGUCAAUUUCCUCACAAGUCUUCGAAAUCUCAUGUUGCUUCUGCUUCAGCUCCAGGUCGUUCUUAAAAAUUAUUCCAGAAAGUUUAGCAGACUCAACCCGCACCAUCUUUAGUUUUGCCUCUAGUUUAGCCUCCUUAGCGGACAGUCGUGUAAGACGACGUUUAGCAGUGUUGGUCUCUGCUAAUAUACGAUUCUCAUCAACUCGCAGAGUCUUCACAAAACCUUUUGCCUCCGUUAGCUGAACAUCCUUAGUUGAUUGGAGUGGAAAUGAGGAAUGUAUUUGAUUAUGGUUCUCGACACCUUGGAAGUAACCAUUCACAAGCUCCCUCAAAACAAUAAGGUUGUCGCUGCCGUUAGUCGCAAUCGCAUCAAAGAUCUUAUGCAUUUCUGGUUCAAGACUACUCAGUCGUUCAAAAGGGGUACGAAUGAUCUUCUGUCGUAGGUUUUCCCAUAAGGUUAUGGCAGCCUGUCGUCGGAGGUCAGAAAUUAAGCUGUCAGCACAAAAAUGAGAAAUCUCAGAAACUGUAAUAGGCUCUGUGCCUUCCACUUUUUGAGGAGGUCCCUUGAUCACAGGAGGACAAGCAGACACAAUAUUUGCGCCUAUAGGUUCCUUAGAGUUCCCAUUAUAAGAAAGUACAACGUUACAGUCUUCUAGAUUCAGCAUCAACUCUAGGGUAUCUUCGAUGUGUAGGUCAUGAUCACCUAAAGAAUACUACAAAAUAAUAUUAACAACAAGAAAUAAGGGGAGUAAAGGAGAGAAAAUACAAUCAAUAAAUAAAUAAAAUUGGGAGACGAAAAGAAACCAUGGGGGAAGGGACAUCGAAAAAUUGUGCAGCAUCAGGGACCCGAAUAGGAGACUCUUCAUCAUCGAUCGACUGUUUGUUAGGCUUCUUGGGUCUCUUCCAAUGGCGAUCAUCAUUGCUGCUUUGACUGUCCUCAAUACGUUUAGAAGGAUGCUUGGUAGCUAUCGAUAAGCGGUUGUCCUUACCCAUAUUGUCAAUACCACCUUUAAUAAGAUGUUUAAAUCGUGUAGAAAGAGACAAAUUAUCCACCAAGCGUUUUGUCCCUCCCUCAAUUUUCUCCACAAGUCGUUCAUCAGUUUCAUCGGAGCAUAUCUUCUGAUUUCCACUACCAAAAUUAUGUUCAAUCUUUUUUGUGGUUUUGGAUUUGAUGUGAGGGGGAGUAGGACGAUCUAUCAAAUGUUGUACUCCUUCUUGGAGGUAAUCACCGUGUUUUGCAAGCCACCAGACCUUAUAAUGAGAGGUAACAUGUGUGUCUGGAUUAGGGGCAGACACAGGAAGAUAUACUUGGGAAAGUGUAUUCUCGCGAAUACAAAUCAUCCAACAAUAUCGUACGUUAAAAAAAUUGGCUUCGGGAAUUUCUUCACCUAAGUCAUAUGGCACGUCUUGAUAAAAUCCAAAUGGUCGGCUAAAGCGACAAGGACUAUAAGGCUCAAUAACUGUGGAGGAUCCACAUUGCGAGGAUAGAAAACAAGAGCAAAUGCUUAUGAAAAAUGAAGCAUUCUAACUAAUUAACUCUCCAUCAUCCGUUAAGAGUUCGUCCUUAUUCUUUGUUGGAAGACACGCAUGCCAUGACACAUACUUUCCCUUGUGGAUAUGUGUUCGAGCCUCAAGAUUAGUAUAAUAUUUGGCCCCACCUUCACCAGAAAAUUCAACCAUGCGAGGACCCCUAAGACUCCUAGGGGCUUUAUAAUGAGUGUUGAAGUAAAGAGCAAGCCACCCAUGGACAUAGUGAAGAGGAAAACAGGCAUUUGAAUAACCAAGUGAUGAAGUAGAAUCAUGAACUUGGCGUAGGCCACUAUAAAUAUUAGCUAAAACAGGGACGGCAAGGCUAAAUGUGUAGCCUUCCGCCAUGAGGCUAGCAACCUUAAAAACCUCCGGACGAAGGGAAAGUUGCUUAUCAGGGAACACAAACACACAUAGCCAACAAGAGAGAAAUGCCGCUAGAUAGGUUUUGUCCCUAUGAUCAUCAGUGACGCUUAAGUCAAGGAACACUUUGAGUUCAGCUUUAGACCAGUCAGGACGUCUGAUGGGAAUUCCAUCUGGAUUAUGAGUUGAGCGAGGGCGAGAAGUCUUUUUAGGCUUUCGAGGAGGCGGUUUCGAAUACUUUACCUCAGAUCGUGUAACCCAAAAAGAGAUCCAUUCACUUACAGUGAUUUGAGAGUGAUCCAUGCGUUGAGAAACAAUGCGGUAAUAGGCUGCAAAUAAAUGCUCACAACUUCUUGGACAUACAUCAGGUGAUCCUAUUAAGUCUUGGUGGCAAGGAAUGCUUUCUUCAUAAAAUCUACCUUUAAUCGGGAGUCCUCCUAGUAUCCAUAAGUCCCAUAAGGAGAUGGACAUCUCACCAGCUGAGGUGUGAAGAGUGUUUGUUGAAGGACACCAUGCCUCGCAGAAAGCCCGAUCAAUGUCACUGUUGCGAUCAUAUGUAUAUAGGGAAGCCAUCACAGCAUUAAAUAGGGAGGCUCGCUUGAGUACUGCCGUAUUUCUAGCAACAACGAGCUCUAACCACUCCCAAUAAUGAGGAAGAUAGUAAAAUUCUCCAUGUACCUUGAGCACAUUUCCCCAACGAAUUUUUGGGUCGUUUAUAAUUCGACGACCCAACGUUGAUUCUGGAUCCUCAUUUGGAGGCUUGUUGUGAAUCGAAGACUCCAGAAACCAAGAUUUUAAAGAUGAAUUUGGAUUUACAAACCGUUCCUUGGACCAUUUAGGCAAAAAGAUAAAAUUGUCCUCGGGUAUUUGAGAGUCCAUAAUAUUCUCAUAUGUCCCCUCUCUCACAGGAAGAAUGAUCCCUUCCUCUAAAGAUUGAUCUACGUCCUUCAGGAUAAUUAAACACCUUUUGGUCGAGUCAGAAUACUCAGUGAAGUGCACCAUGAUGAAAAGAAGAGUUCCUGCAAAAUAAUAAUAAUAAUAAGAAGAAGAAGAAAUAGAAAAAAAAAAAAAAACCAAAACAAAAAAAAAAAAAAAAAAAAAAAAAAAAAAAAAAAAAAAAAAAAAAAAGAAAGAAGAAAAAAAAAAGAAAGAAAGAAGAAAAAAGGGGGGGGAAGAAAAAGCAAAUGGAGAUUGAAGCCCGACGAUGACAGAGUCGAUCUCUCCUACUAGGGCGAUAGAUCUGACGGCAAAAGCCCGAUCGUCCCUAGAAGAAGCUCAACAAAGUCAUUUCUGCAAACGAAGAUCGAAGCCCGACGAUGACAGAGUCGAUCUCUCCUACUAGGGCGAUAGAUCUGACGGCAAAAGCCCGAUCGUCCCUAGAAGAAGCUCAACAAAGUCAUUUCUGCAAACGAAGAUUGAAGCCCGACGAUGACAGAGUCGAUCUCUCCUACUAGGGCGAUAGAUCUGACGGCAAAAGCCCGAUCGUCCCUAGAAGAAGCUCAACAAAGUCAUUUCUGCAAACGAAGAUUGAAGCCCGACGAUGACAGAGUCGAUCUCUCUAACUAGGGCGAUAGAUCUGACGGCAAAAGCCCGAUCGUCCCUAGAAGAAGCUCAACAAAGUCAUUUCUGCAAACGAAGAUCGAAGCCCGACGAUGACAGAGUCGAUCUCUCCUACUAGGGCGAUAGAUCUGACGGCAAAAGCCCGAUCGUCCCUAGAAGAAGCUCAACAAAGUCAUUUCUGCAAACG
rnacentral:lncRNA from 1 species